CCAGCUUCAAUGACUCGAGACAGCUCAAUCUGCAGAGACUUUUGGACAACAAAGAUUGAUUAUAACUUAAAUCUCCCCGUAUUCGGAGAUUUCGAAGAUUAGGUAGUCUGCCCAAUAUAUCUUCAGUACAGCAGCAAGGAUGCAAGGCUGAAAUGAAAUUGAGAUUUUCCAGAGAGCCACAGAAUUUUCCUGGAUGCGCAGGAAGUGUGAUUGAGCCAAAAUUUAGAUGCCUGAGUUUGUUCAUCUUCCAAAAUUCAUCUGCUGUAUGAUCUAUAUAGCUAAAGGGCAUGUCUAGGGUGUAGAGGUUCAGAAGAUUGCUUAACAAUGAUGAAGGCAGGCUGUUGAGGGAAGGGAUAUUCAACUUCAAAUAUCUCAAAAGAAAUAAAUUUUCAAUUCCGGAUGGAUACUGGAUGAGAACAAGAGAUCCCAAGUCCAAUACUCUGAGAAGUUUGAACAUUCCACAAAAUUUCUCCCAAUCUAUAGGGUCAAGGUGGCGGGUUUCUGGAGAGCAGCACAACAAAGAAUGCAGUUGCGAGUCAUAAUCAUCUAAGCAAGCAAAAUCACCCUCUCUUUCAACAGCGUUUAACCGUUUGGCUUUUUUUGGUGAUUUACCUUUUGGAUCCAUGAAAGGGGAACAGAUGAAUUCCACCAUAUAAGGAACUGUGUGCAGCACGGGACGCCAACGACCAGGAAUAGAGCAUGUGUUGAUAGUGCCUCCGGCUUUUCUCUUCUUUGCUUCAACAAAGCCUUCCUUGAUAAGUUGUUCCAAGUAACUCUCAGCAGUUGCCUCACUAUUGUCUGGAAUGAAACCUUCAGCUAUCCACAACUGAUAUAACUGCCUGGUGGAUAUCUCUUGGUGUGCGGGAAACACAGAUAAGUAGAUAAAACAAGGUUUCAAGCAAAAAGGUAACAUUAAACAUUUGAUGUACCGAAGCCCAAGGGGUGUCUCCACUGCUUCCCGUAUAUUUUCUUCUAAUGAGAUGCUUCCAUGAUAUAAGAUGAGGAAAGGCCGUCCUUUAUAUGUAGCUCUCAAUGGUCCUCCAGUGGGCACUAAAUCAAGCCGCAUGUUCUCUCCGUCUUCGAACUGAAAUGAGAUGAUGAUCCUAAUGUCAGUGAGUGUUAUUAAUACUCUACUUCCAUUCUGAUUAUCCGGAAGUAUUUCUUGAAUAACAUCCCACAUAUCAAUGCUCCAUACAUCAUCAAUCACAAUCAAAUACCGCUUGGUCAUCAGAUAUUCAUGAAGAAUAAUUUUUUUCAUUUCAUAAUUUUUAUCCAUUAUUUCACUCAACCUAGAUGAAGGCAUCAGAAACUUAAUAACGAUAUCUAAUAUUUGGUCAGCAUCAUAUUCAUUGCUGUAAGGUUCUGUAAUCCAAGCGUGACAAUCAAAAUAAUGCUUCACAUAACUGCUGUUGUAAGCCUCUCCGGCGAAAGCCGUCUUGUCCAACCCAAUGCUAUCAAGUAUGGCCACCACUGAAAGCUGAGGUGGUCCCUCAAUGUUAGAGCAGCUCAUUAUGCUGAACAGAAGAAGGUGAAGACUAAGAUGAAGAAAAUACAGAGCAAGUUACAGGGCAAGUGUGUCAGCAGUGCCAGCUCAGCUAACAGCUCAGCAGAUUAGUUAAAGAUGGUUGUAAGCAUGAUGUGCAUUGUACUGAAGUUAGUUAGCUUUGAUUACAGUUAGUCUUUGGAUUAGUUAAAUGAAGUUACCGUGAUUGCAUUGUAUAUAAACAGGUGAUGCUUUGUAAUUAAAUGUUAAGCAAAAUAAAAAUCAAAGUUUGUUAAGGAAAUAUCUCCAGAAUUAUCAAUUCAUUUUCUUAGUAACCAAACAACUUUAUUUCAUUUUCUUUCAGUGCGGAGAGGCCGAAAAUUUGCUGGAGGGAUACCAAUUAAUUUGGCAGAUUUCUGAAGAGCGAAAUGUGUUUGAUCGGAGGCAUAAACAACCAACUUAGUAAUGUUGUCAAAGCCUCCUCCAAGUUUUUCCAAUGCUUUGUCUCUUGCAGCUGCCAGAGUGCAAACGAGGGAUUCACAAGUGCUUCCGUGCAGGACACCACCACCUGUUCCGGAAAACAAAAAUGAAGAAGGAAGCUUGAGCAUUUUCCCCAUCCAAUCCAUCACAAUGGAUUCGAGUUCAGUUGCUACCGGAGAAGCGAGCCAGUUGAAGCCAACCACGUUGAACCCUGAACAAAGCAUCUCACCAAGAAAGCCAGCAGUGCUUGCAUUUGCUUGGAAAUAACCAAAGAAAUUGGGGCUUUGCCAGUGAGUGAGGCCAGGUAAGAUGCAGUCGGUGACAUCUUUUAGAAUAUCAUCCAAUGACUCUGGGGAAUGCGGGGCUGUGUCAGGCAACCGAGCCGACAAAUAACCAGGCUCUACUUUGCUUUGAACAGGGUAUUUCUCGAUGUUUUUGUAAUAAUCAGCAAUGAAAUCGAUAACAGCUUUCGAUUCGUCAGAGAAGCUCUUUGGCAUUACUCUUAACACAUGAGGCAAGAAUGGAACAAAAUCAUAAUACUAAAGAUCUUUUUAGUGCAAACUAUGGGAUGAUGAAUGCUAACUACUCUCAGUUUAGAGGAAAUAAUAAGAGAGGUGGUUAUAGUGGAUAUCAAGGGCAAUUUAAUGCUGGAAAUAGGAAUCAAAAUGGAGGAAGAGGAAUGUCUUUCAAUUCAUUCUCAAGAGGUUUUCCAGCUGGUGGAUAUACUGGUAAUGCUGGUGGCAGAGGACAGCAAAUGAAUGCAUAUGCUUAUAAACCUGUGCUUAACAACAGGCAUAAUUUCAAUGUGAAUCAUGGCUCAACUUCAAUGCCCAAUGGAAAUGGAUCUGAUGAUAAUGUGCUUAUCUGUCAAAUCUGUCAUAAAGCUGGACAUGCAGCUGAUGUUUGUUGGCACAGACACUUUGAUGGCUAUGCUCCUCAACCCAGACAAUUUGGAAGGGGCAGAGGGCAUAAGUCUGCUUAUAUGGCUAACUUUGAUCCACAAAUUGGCUUUACUUCACAAUUUGAAGAUUCGUUUGCUACAGAAUAUCCUGGUUAUCAUGGGUACCAUCCACCUGAUAUGAAUGCAUCAGUUGCAUCAGUAAGUCAUCACUCAUCUGAUAUGCAUUCUGUACCUGGAGCAGCUUAUAUUGCAAAUUUUGAAGGACCAGCUGAUGAAGGGUGGUAUCUUGAUAGUGGAGCUACGCAUCACAUCACUAACAGCAUGGCCAAUAUGCAUAUCAGAGAUCAAUUCACUGGAGCAGAUCAGCUCAUUAUUGGAAAUGGACAAGGUUUGCCCAUAACUCAUGUUGGUGAUGCAUCAUUUCUCUUUAAAAGUUCCAAUUCUACACACAAACACUCACCUAUAGUACUUAAAGAUAUUCUGUUGGUGCCUUCCUCUCAGUUAUCAUCAUCUUUUCUUUCUCAUAUGUGUUCCAAUAAACCUUUGUCUAUGCUUUCUUGUUGUUGUUUCAAUUCUGUUCCUUCUGGAGUAUUUACAGAAUCUUAGAAAUCAUGUAAUCAAACUGAUGAUUCAUCUUGUAAAACUUCAGUUAAUAAAGCUAUUUUGCUUCAUAGAAAGUUUGGUCAUCCCAAUCAUCAAAUAUUAACUCAUAUACUCAAAACAGCAAAAUCUAUUCAUUUACCUGCAUAUCAAAAGCAACAAAUGCAUCAGUACAUCUGUGAGGCCUGUCAAAUGGGCAAAACACAUAAACUUCAUUUUCCAAUUACUGAAACCAAAACCUCCAAAACUCUAGAACUUAUACACACUGAUUUAUGGGGUCCUUCUCCCAUUAUUUCUAGAGAUGGUUAUCAGUAUUAUAUAAGUUUUGUAGAUGACUACAGCAGGUAUACAUGGAUUUAUCCUUUGAAGCUAAAGUCUGAGGCAUUAGAAGUCUUUAAGCUCUUUAAACUGCAGGUUGAAAAUCAGUUUAGCACAACCAUUAAGAUGAUGCAAUCUGAUUGGGGGGGAGAGUAUAGACCAUUCACUGAGUUUUUAAGCCAAUUUGGUAUCAUCUUUAGACAUCCUUGUCCUCACACUCAUCAUCAAAAUGGGUUAGUUGAAAGGAAGCAUAGACAUAUUGUUGAAUUGGGUCUGACUCUCUUAGCUCAAGCUCAACUUCCCUUUAAGUUCUGGUGGGAUGCAUUUCAUACUGCUGUAUAUCACAUCAACAGACUUCCAUCUCCUGUUUUGCAACUUUUAACCCCAUAUGAAAAGACAUUCAAACACAAACCUGAUUAUGAUUUUCUCAGAUGUUUUGGGUGUUCUUGUUAUCCUUACUUGAGAGAUUACAAUAAACAUAAAUUUGCCUACCAUUCUAGUAAGUGCAUAUUCAUUGGUUACAGUCCUUCACAUAAGGGCUACAAAUGUUUACACCCUUCAGGUCGAGUCUAUGUGGCAAGACAUGUUACCUUUGAUGAAUCAGUUUUUCCUUAUGCCACUGAGUUUGUUUUUCAUAGUCAUGCUAAAACUGAUUCUCAAAUUUCUCAUUCCCAUACACCACAGCAAAUCCAUCAUAUCUCUUCUUUGCCUGUCAAUAACAGCACUGGUAAUCUGAACUCUGUAAGAUCUGGAAGCAGCAGUUCAAGUCACUCAGAUCAUCUAGAACAGACAGCAACUGAUCAGAAUUCACAACAAGCUACCAUAAAUGACAGGUCACCUUUUCAUACAUGUCCAACAAUUGUUGAAUCUAUACAAAAUAUUCCAAAACCUCCACAUCACUCUUUGCCUAUACAAAGUCACCAUCCUAGCAACACUUCUUUCUAUCCAUAUACACAACCAAAUACACAUCAGAUGAUAACCAGAAGUAAAGCAGGGAUUUUCAAACCCAAAAUUUAUACUGCUGUGCUUACUCACAAGGAACCAGAUACUGUGCAAGAAGCAUUAAAUGAUUCAAAGUGGCUACAAGCUAUGAGGGAGGAAUAUGAUGCCUUGAUUAAGAAUAAUACAUGGACAUUGGUUCCAAGACAAGCUGAUCAGCAUGUGGUUGGAAAUAAAUGGGUGUAUAGAAUCAAAUAUAAUACAGAUGGAAGUGUAGCUAAGUAUAAAGCUAGACUUGUUGCAAAGGGUUUUCAGCAAGUGGCAGGGAUUAACUAUUUUGAGACAUUUAGCCCAGUUGUGAAGUCAGCUACAGUUAGAGUAAUACUUAGCUUGGCAGUGAUGAAUCAGUGGAGAAUAAGGCAAGUGGAUGUCAAUAAUGCCUUUUUGAAUGGAGAGCUAACAGAAGAAGUUUUCAUGUCUCAACCUGAUGGCUUUAUUGAUGCUCAGAGAUCUGAUUUUGUAUGCAAAUUACACAAGUCUCUGUAUGGGCUCAAGCAAGCUCCUAGAGCCUGGUAUGACAAGCUUAAAGGAUGCUUAAUAAGCUGGGGUUUCACUACUACUAGUUCUGACACCUCAUUGUUUGUUAGGAAGAUCAAGACAUCUAUGAUCAUAGUUCUUAUAUAUGUUGAUGACAUACUGAUCACAGGUCCAAAUACUGAGGAGCUGGAAGGUUUUAUAACUGAAUUCAGCAAAACUUUUGCUCUAAAGGAUCUGGGAGUGUUAUCCUAUUUCCUUGGAAUUGAGGUAUUAUAUGAUGCAGAUUGUAUGUACUUGUCACAGAGAAAGUAUAUCAGAGAUUUGUUAUCGAAGGUAGAAAUGACUGAAUGUAAGGGCAUUGAUACACCCAUGAGUACUGGCUCUAAACUGCAAAAGAUAGUUCAGGGGGAACUUGGAUACUAUCUUGAAGAUCCAACUCAUUAUAGGAGCAUAGUUGGAGGAAUGCAGUACCUGAUACUUACCAGACCUGAGAUUGCGUUUGCUGUAAACAAGCUUAGUCAGUAUGUAGCUGCACCAACACUACAACAUCUAAUGGCAUGCAAGAGAGUUAUAAGAUAUCUAAAGGCAACUCAAGAUUAUGGUUUAAAAUUUUUCAGAGAAGGAAGCUUAACACUCACUAGUUUUACUGAUGCAGAUUGGGCAUGUGACUUAGAUGAUAGGAAAUCAGUUGGUGCUUAUUGCAUUUAUUUAGGCAAUAAUUUGAUAUCCUGGUCUUCUAAGAAACAAUCAGUGAUAACCAGAUCAAGUGCCGAGAGUGAGUAUAGAGCUUUGGCAUCAGUGAGUGCAGAGCUGACAUGGUUACAAUCCUUAUUUUCUGAGUUGGGAAUAAGUUGCAUAGAAAAGCCAAUCAUAUGGUGUGACAACAUUAGUGCCACUGAACUAGCAAAGAACCCUGUGUAUCAUUCAAGAACAAAGCAUAUCGAAAUUGAUAUGCACUUCAUUAGGAAUAAGGUUCUUGCUGGUGAGUUGAUUAUUCACUAUGUACCAAGUGAAGAACAGAUUGCAGACAUAAUGACCAAGCCUCUUUCAUUUGUAAGGUUUAACUACUUGAGGUCCAAACUCAAUGUCCAUCUUUGUCCUCUGAGUUUGAGGGGGGCUGUUAGAGCAGCUCAUUAUGCUGAACAGAAGAAGGUGAAGACUAAGAUGAAGAAAAUACAGAGCAAGUUACAGGGCAAGUGUGUCAGCAGUGCCAGCUCAGCUGACAGCUCAGCAGAUUAGUUAAGAUGAAGAUAUACCGGCUUCAGCUUUAGAAGUUUUGAUGCGAUCAAUGAUUUUGGAAUCCAUGUGCUUAAGUUGUUGCAUCCGUUGCUUAAUAUCAGUGAUUCUGCUUUGGAGUCCUUGCAGAGCAUCAAAAAUGUCCUUGCUGCAGCUGCUUUGAGUCUUCUGUUGAGUGAUGCUGUUGAUGAAUGUGUCAAUCACCUUCUCAGAUUCAUACGUAAACCAAUUGAUUUCGUCCAUAACGGUCGCCAGAUCUGGGUCAUGACUUUCCUCCUCCGCCAUUUUUUCGAACAGAAGGAGGGAGAUAUCAUCUUCAAAUUCGCUCAGCCAAGAAGUAACGAUUUCAACCUCCGCAUGAAGGUUCUGAAUAGGUUGUUUUGCAGCAUCAGGCAACGUGACUUCUUCACCAGCUAACACCCUUCUCAGCCUCUCUGAAAAUAGUCUGAAGUUGAUGUGCAUAUCUCCUCCUCUCUCAGAUUCACCCUGAAAUCAGUCCUGUAGCAUGCAAAGAAAUAAUUAAAAGAAAAACAUGCUUUAAAGCUCUCAAUUCAAACAUUAGUGCUGGCUCCCAUACCUCCCUUCUCUUAGCUAGCUCUCCGGUCAAGAAGUUGAAUCAAGAUCGUUGACUCUCAGAUUAUAACAGAUCAAGGAAGAAUCUUACAAUAAUCUCGUCUCCCAUAUGAUCAAGACCAAUUUGUUUUAUACAUCCACUUUUAAGAAAGGAAGGGUAAAAACAAUUCCACUGGGACUAUAAAAGCUUGUCUGAAAAGAAAAGAACGGAGCAAGCACAAGAGCGUUAUCAAUUAUUUAAUAAUUAAUAACUAAGCCGUGGAAAAAUGCAAAAUCAUGUCAGGUGUUACUUGUUAAAUUUAUUGCGAGACUUGCAUGUAUCUAUAUCACAAAUAAAAUUUGUAUCCCAGGGUUAUAAAUGUAAAAUUACUCAAAUAAAUAUGCAUUCUUAAUCAUGUGUGAUGCUGUCUUAUUUCUGAGAAAGUACUAAAUCGUUUGUAAAAUUUUAUAGUUAAUAUAUGUUCAAUUUUCUUUUUAGCAUUCUUUUUUAAGAAAUGAAAAAUGAUAAAGAAUUCUAACAACGGGUGACAAAAAUAAUAAUAAAUUGUGCAAUGUUACAAUGUUAAUUGAAAAAUAGUUAUAAUUUUUUAUUUAACAUUAUAAAUAAAAUCUAUAGUUGUUUUCUCACUACUGUAUCAUUUUUUAAUUCAAAUAUCAGUAUUAUAUGAGCUCUCACCUUUUAGAAAGUAUUAUAUCAUAAGACACUAUUUAUAAUUAUUUUCAUUUGAGCCCUUAGUGUUAAAAAUAUAACAAUCCAUCAAUGAAAUCAAUGAUAAUGGAAUUCUAAGUAGGAAUGGCAGAAAAAUCAAGUCUAGCUAGAGCAUGUUUUCUAAGUAUUCUGGCUGGUCUUGGGCUCCGGCUAAAAAGUUCGAACUCAGCUCGAAAGCCAACAUUGUAUAGUGGGAAUCUAGGACCAAUCACAUGGAGAUGAUUUGUAAAUUUUUGUACACAAUUUUAGUAUGCAUAUCAGAAGAGAGGCAGCAAUCUUAGUUGAUACUUUUAUUUGACAUAUGAUGUAAGAAACGGAACAAAGAUUGUAACGCCACAAAUUUUGCAAUUCAGCAUCCAAAAUAUCACUAGAACUUGCAAGACAAGCUUUAAUCUCUUCAACAAAGGUCGAAUUGCGGGCAGGAACACAAACGCAGAGAUGGGUAUCAAGAUCGCAUUCGAAACGACUGACAGGGAUUGUCACAGUCGGCAUUGCUUUUACAAGUGACUGCUUUUGAUUCCGGUUGAGCAUCAACUGCCGGCAUGGAAAUAUUAAACAACACACUUGCAUAUAUAAAUGCCAAACAAUUAAUUAGCCUAAUGCUAAUAACACGCCUGCAUAUAUAAAUGCCAGCCAAUUAGUUGUCAUAUUAUAGUUAAUUAUGCAUGCAUUAAAAAGAUGAGGAAAAUAAGAUUAAGGAACAAACAUGAGGCCACCAACAGAGUGAUGAAAAAUGUGGAUUUAAGUUUAAGUUCCAUAAUGUUUAUGUAAGCAAAAGUGCAAAACUGAGAGUCUGUGGAUAAUGAUAUUAUUAAAUUUAAUAUGGGUUUGGUUUGCAUAGAUUCAUGAAUUUCUCUAGACAUUAUAUGCGCCGGGGGAGAAUUUAAUCCACUUGACAACUAAAAAAUUCAGAAAUCAAACCUCGAUUUGACAAAUUAGAAAUUUAAAAAUUAAAUUUUUUUCCAUAUGCAUGCUCUCGUUUUUCUCUCUAUCACAGCGGUAUAAUUGGAAUUAUUGUUAUGACAAUUUGAUUCUCUUUUCUUACAUGUUGCAGGAGUCAUGUCCUCCCGUUGAGGUGACAAAAUGACUAUGGAUUGUGCCUGAGUGGAGUACACCACCAGUAUGAUUAUCUCACUCCCUUUCGAGGUUUUGUUGCAGUAAUUUCUCAUCUUUUAUAGGGUACCCUGCUCUUCAUUGCUUCUGUAGAAGUCUUAUGAGCUAAUUGCUUCCGAAUCUUUAAAUUUCUUCAAUGAGGAACCUUUGUUUGGAAAAUUGAUUUUCAUCUGAUCCGAGAAGGGUGCUUUGAAGCAGAGAGCUUACGAAAUGCAGCAUGCAAAAUCAUGACUACAAUGCAGUAGACUAAUUGUUAGCUCACUCUAAGCAAAGGCAACGUUCAUAAAAGAUGAAGAAGAGUUUCUAAUAUUUACCAACAUAACCGAUAGCAAGUGCACAGAAUAGAGUCAUCUGAACAUUCAGUAGCAUAAGAACAACCAAUGUAGCUGCAAAGAUGAGAUGUAAUUACUACUGUGAAGUCGACGAAAGAAUUCCACUAUUUAUCAACAACUAGACUGUAGUAUAAUGGAAAGACCUGCCAAGGAAAGUUUAAAGCAAAACUCAUCCAGAGAAGGCAAGAACAUUAGUAUAGAAGCAGAAGUGCACACAUUCAUAUUUAGGGGUAACGAGAAAUGUAUCAUAAAUCACUUGCUCUAGCACAGUACUAUUUCAUGCUAAUUUUCUUGCUCGUUCUAUGGUUAGGACCCUUUGAGCGGAAAGAAAUCAAAUCACAAUGCUUAUUCUAGCUAGAAACUCCUGAAGUCCAUGCUUGAACCCUGUGUCAAUUGGUCAUAGACUCCAUAUUCUCCCAAAAGUAUGACAUUUUUUUCUUCCACUGAUUAAUGGAACUUAAAACUGUUUUGCCACAAUCUUAGUCAUACAAACCCUUUCUCUUUACAUUUCUUAAGGUCAUCAGACCCAAACCAGAACAUGUUUACUUCCUAGGAGAAAUCUUAAAUAUCUUAAUCAAUACGGAACUGUGUAGUUCAGACAGCAUUCCCUUGGCCAACUAGACGUAACGAUUUGCAAUGUCCUAGUAAGUCUAUGAGUGGAACUAACAGUGCCCUUCCAAUACGGAAAAACAAUCGUCAAAAACAAUUUUUUUACCCCAUCAACCACAUACAGUAUAAGACUGUAGCUGGUUAUCUCAAUAUCGGCUGCCAUUUUGAUUCAAAGAAGAAAUAUUUGAGAACUCACCACAUUGUGCAAUGCGAACCAGAACCUGCCUAAUCACAGGAUGCCGAUCCCAGUUCCAUUUGUCACUACAGAACUUGAAAAAAUCCCAAAGUGCCAAACUUGAUAUCAACCCAACAAGUGCAAGUGGCAUCUGGUAUCUAUAAGAUGGAGACAGAGACAAUGUCACUAGACAGAUGAUACACAGAAAAAAAAACUUGUAAUACAACUAACACACACAAUACUAUGAUUAAAAAAAUAUCUCCAUCAGUUAAAAACUAAACAAUGGAAAGGCGAGACUCUAUGAACUAAUGCCCUGAACCAGCACAAAUACCAAUUCUCCCGGAGUAUUUUAAGUAUUCAUAUAGUUGUUUCAAAGCACAGGAAAAAAAAAAACAACGCAAAAUUGCAAACUCAUAGUGUUGUUAUUUAUCAAUUGAAACCCAGAAAAAAAAAUCUGUAACUUAAUUAUUCAUUUAAGCAGAUUGAAACCCUUACAAACACAGGUAAGCAAAUCAAAAUUAUCAUUAAAAAUCCAAUCAAGGCCACAUAAAUCUAAUCACAUCCAAAAGCAUCCCAAAAUCUCGUUCAAUAUUCAUACACCCACAUACAAAAACCAUUCAAAAAUUUAAUUUUUUUUAACUCAAAAUAAUAACUCAGGAAAGGAAACAAAAUUCUUACAGAGAGCAAGCAAAGAAGAGGAUGAACAAAGAAGCAUAAUUCCUGGCAUAACGUUUAACAUUCUCAUGAACUCUCAACUUAAGGGUGUGUGGGGAAGAUGGAAACGAGUAAGACCCAAGAGCCCCAAUAAACUCACGGGUCCAAGACGGGGUGUUGGCUGAGAAAUCAUCAGUGGUGAGUUUAGCAAAAGGGUUGGCGGUAAGAAGAGAGAUAAAGGUGUAUAAAUAAUGUAAAAGGCUGUGAGUUAUGGUCGUGGCUGUGGCUGUUUCUUUGGUGGAGGCUGUUGUGACGGCGGUGGCCGAUGUCGUGGUGGCGGUGUCAAGGCUUUCGAGGUAGCCGGAGUCGCGUAGCCAUGACUCGAAUGCUGGGUCGGUUACGUUUAGAGAUAACGGGUUGGAUGCGAAUACCUUCCCCAUUGCAAAAAGUUAUCCAAUUUCGGUUGAACGAGGGUCACUAAAUUAUCAAAAUAUUAAUAACUAAUUUGUAACAAAAUUCAUAUGAUAUGAUAUGAUGAUAUAGGCCUUGGUUAGUGGUUUUCUAAACAAUUUAUUAUUAUUAUUAUUCUCUUAAUCAUUCCAAGUUUAAAUUUCGAAGAGGUAGGGGAUAGAAAUAAAUUAUAUUAGGAUUUGUCGAUUUUUCAAUAAAAACUUCAGUAUUAUAUGCUUAAUUGUUUUAAAGAAUUUUCUUUGAGUAUUGUUUUGAGUAAAUAAAUGUGAUUAAUUUAACAUGCUUAAGGAUUUUUAGUAUUUUAAAGACCAUACAAAGUAUAACUUAAUUUUUUAAAUUUAAUAGAUGAGUGUGUAGAACAAUAAAGUAUUUAAAGUAAUUAUUAGAGGAUAAAUAGGCAUAUCCAAUACUUUUAUUUUUUUGAAAAGAAAGUAAAUCUUUCAUAAAUCACAACACCUCAAAUACAACUUGAAUCUCGACUGGAAUAGUUCCUAGCCACAUAGAAGAAGAAUUUCUUCCCAAAGCUAACUUAGCUAGAGAGUGGGCAUAAGCAUUACAUUGACUUGUUAUGUGAUGAACAACUUUUUGAAAAACUUUCAACUGAUUUCGGAUCUCCAGAAUUGUCCAAAAAAUUUCUGUUUUGCUGCUCUUGGUGUUGUUUACAAGUUGAACCACCUCUAAGCAAUCUGACUUAAUGAUCAAGGAAGUUAAAUCUGCUUCUUUUGCCAACUGAAGCCCCCAUUGCACAGUCUCUGCCUCAGCUAAACUGACUGGUCCCUUAAGAUGAAUUUGAUUAAUACCGGCUGCAAUUAUCUUUCCAUUAGAAUCUCUAAUCACUGCUCCCACGCCUGCAAUCUGAUUCUUAGUAUUGAUGGCAACAUCCACAUUAAUUUUGAAAAUAUUUUCAGGGGGAGGGAACCACUUCUGUUGUUUCUCUCCUCUGGGGUGGGCAAUAUGAGAAGGCUUUGUCUUUCUUACUCUUUGAAAAGCUGAGCCUUUACAACAUGAGCAGGGAGGGGACUCCACUUUUGAUGCAUCAUAGAUAGUUUCUUCUCUGCAAAAACUUUGCCCAAAUUUCUUAAGUCUCUUAAAGGCAUCUAUCAGAUCUGCCUUUGCAACACUUUCCACAAAGUAGAAACUUUUCUUCUCAAAAUUAUGCAUCAUAAAAUACAAAACCAAGCAAAAUCAAAUGAACAACCCCAAAUUUGUAAAUCUGGGUAGACAAACAAUAAUAAACCACCACAAAUCUCUAGAUAUGAGUGGAAGAAUACACCACCACAGAUUUGAAAAUAUGAGUGGAAGAACAAAACCACCACAGAUAUGAGGAUCUGAGUGGAGAAAAUAAGUAAAGAAAAUAAAAAAAGAAGGUUUCGCUAGAAAACCAACUCAUAGAGCUGAUUUUUCGGCGAAAGAAGAAGGUGAAAUGUUACUGGAUGUUCAGAGCCUUUUUUUUCUGGAAAGGCAUAUCCAAUACUUUAACUUAUGGUUGGUUGUUUUUUUCACUGAAUUUUCUAAUUUGAAUUGAAUCAAUUACAAGUUGUGACUCGAGCUCAAGAGAGUUGAAGAGAAAGAAAAAGAAAAAUGGAGUCCUUCUCUUGUCCCUUUUAAGUGAAUAUAUUUAGGUUGGGUACCGCAGGGUAGUUUAAUCUUUUCUACUGCAUGGCACCUCUUUACUCAAAUAUCAAAUGAGCUUGCUCUUCACGUGACACCAAAUUUACCAAACUUUAUUUUUUUCCUUGAUUGGCUCGUGUAGGACAGUCGAGGUGUCAUUUGUUUUUUCACCGUUCAACUUCUUAUUUAUUAUUCUUAUACCACAUGUCAGCUUUCAACUAGUCCAUAAAUAUCCUUCAAAUUUUACCUCCAAACAAAUCUAAUAACCUCUUGAAAACAAAAAAUUAAAAAUUUACUCAAUCAUUCAAUGUUAAGGAAAUUGGCCAAGUAAUGGAAUGCUAACAAACCAAAUUAAAUUUCUACAUUUAAUUUUUUUUCUCAUGCAUGCUCUACUAAAAAUAUUUGAUGUGGUGCUAAUGCUCACUGCAAAGUAUAUAUUAGAUGCUCGUGCAUAUACCGUAGGCUAUAGCUAUACAAAAACUUAUACUUGCGUUCUCGAAUGCACACACUUGCACGCAAAAUUCUAUUAUUGAGAGUCGCUGCUUUCUAUAACACGGCCUUUUUCUAGCCUUUCAUUAGACGUGGUUUCAAUUUAUUUAACCAUUAGAGGGACACAUCAGUAGUCACAAAAAUGCCCCUCUAAAUGGCAAUUCUUUUAAUCAUUUUGCUGCCGCUCUUCCUUCCAGUCCCAAGUACAUAGCCCAAACUUCAAUUUUCUCUGGGAAGGUAAUGAAGCGUGGCUUAGUCUCAGUAAUAUGUCUUCCAUAUUCCAUGGAAUGAGCCAAAAGAGGAGUACUUCUAUAGUUAGUAGCAACUAGCAAUCAUAUUGAUUCUUAAAGGAAUUUUCUACAUCAGAUAAAGAAAGAGCAGCAGAGAACAAAGCUGUUAAUCAAUCAACACAUGUAAAGCAGUAUUAGUAUUUCUGCCUUAUUGUAGUGCCUAAGCGGGUAUUAGGAUUUCUCCACAAGAACGUUUACUAAGACAUUCAGCCAAGUGUGAAGUUCAUCAAUAAUUAAUCUUUUCUGGAAAUAAACGGAACAUAUUGAGUGCCAAACUUGCCCAGCCUUUGAAACAGGAUUUCAGAGCAAGCAACAGUGUUGAAGUCAACAAAUUGUUGAAAAAUAAUAAUAAUUAAAAAUUAUAUUUUUAAUUAUUUUAUUCUUAGCAUAGUAAUUCAUUUCUCCUAUAAAUAGUUAAGGAUUUCAUUCAUUUGAAAUCGUCCCAAAAUUGUUAAGCUUAUAAGUUUCUAAGCUUUUGAGGAAAGUGAGAGAAGUGUGUCUGGGGAAUUUAUCUUUCCUGCAGAGUGUGAGAGUACUGGGUAUAUUUGGGUUUCUGGGAAGUGAGAUUCGUUACUCAAAUAUUGUACUCUAUUAAUUGUUAAAUAAACAAUUAUUCUUUCUUGCCUCCGUGGAUGUAGGUUUAAUUACCGAACCACGUAAUUCUUGUGUCCUUUAUUUUUCUAUAAUUAUUUGGUGCGCUUGAUUCCGCAUUCCGCGCACAACAAGUGGUAUCAGAGCCGAAGGUUCUUACUUGGGGGGAUACGGUACUGUUCACGUAUACGGUACUAUUCCCGUAUUCGGCACUGUUCACAUACGGUACUGUUCACGAAUACGGUGGAGACGGCCAUUUAUACUUGGGAGACAGUCUAUUGUAAGUAGUGUAGAUGUAAGUUUAAUUACUGAACCACGUAAAUUCUUGUGUCCUUUAUUUUUCUGUAAUUAUUUAGUGCGCUUGAUUCCGCAUUCCGCGCACAACAAGUGGUAUCAGAGCCGAAGGUUCUUACUUGGGGGGAUACGGUACUGUUCACGUAUACGGUACUAUUCCCGUAUUCGGCACUGUUCACAUACGGUACUGUUCACGAAUACGGUGGAGACGGCCAUUUAUACUUGGGAGACAGUCUAUUGUAAGUAGUGUGUAUUUUUGCAUGUCUAGGAAAGUUCUGUUAACAAAGGCGAUAAGAGUCUAAGGAUUCUGGUUUUUAAUUGGGAUCGAGUUCCUGUCCAGUUUUCUGAGAACUUUCCUGGUGCAUUUAUUCACGCGAAAUUAACAUCAUAGAGACUAUUUUUCAAGUGGAAAUAGUUCGUUGAGAAAAUAGUAGAAGGUGAAACUUCCAGAAUUGGGGAGAGAUCUACCGAGACUAUUUCAGGAGACACUUCAGGUGGGAUGCGAGAUUUGUCAAAUCGCUAUUCAGCACCUGUUAUAGGAGGCCAGAAGAUCGAUGUUGAAAAGUUUGAUGGGAAAAUCAACUUCGGCAUGUGGAGGCGCGAAGUUAUGGAUGCCCUUAUUCAAAUCGAUCUCGAUGUUGUUAUGAAAAAUAAAAGAUGAGUAUCGUCUGAAGCUUUGGUGAGCAAAGAUUGGGCGAUGGAGAAACAAAAGAAGCGUGGUGGAAAGAAUUCUCGAUCCAAAUCGAGAAGCAGAAAUAUAGCUCGAGAUGAGUGUGCCUUUUGUCAUGAAAAGGGCCAUUGGAGGAAAGAUUGUCCAAAGGCUCAAAAGAGAGAUGGGAAGAAACCAGCAGCAGCAAACAUGGCACGGAAAGAUGAGGGCUCUGAUUAUUCACUAAGUAUUACUCCUGCAGCAUACGUGGCUAGUUCGAGCGAGUGGAUACUUGAUACUGGAGCAACUUAUCAUUUGUGUCCUAUUAAGGAAUGAUUUACGGAUUUUCGUAAUUUGGAAUCCGGUGCAGUUGUGAUGGGGAAUGAUCAACCUUAUCGCACAAUGGGGAUAGGAACAAUUCGGCUCAAAAUGUUUGAUGGAAUGAUCAGAGAACUCAAAGAGGUUAGAUUUGUUCCAGCUUUAAAGAAAAAUCUAAUUUCUGUGGGUGCUUUGGAAGCUAAAGGCUACAAGGUUACCAUUGAAGAUGGUAUAAUGAAGUUUACACAUGGGGCUAUGGUGAUUCUGCAAGGGGUUCGGCGUCACAAUCUGUACUAUUUGAAGGGAGGUACAACUGAUGAAGCAAAUGUUGUUGAAGCGCAUAGUGACACCACCAAGCUAUGACAUGUACGACUGGGACAUGCUGGAGAGAAGUCUUUGCAAACUCUGAUGAGACAUGGACUCUUAAAAGGUACCAAAACCUGUAAAUUAAAUUUAUGUAAGCAUUGUGUAGUAGGCAACUGAUGAAGCAAAUGUUGUUAAGGCGCACAGUGACACCACCAAGCUAUGGCAUGUACGACUGGGACAUUAAGAGUCUAAGGAUUCUGGUUUUUAAUUGGGAUCGAGUUCCUGUCCAGUUUUCUGAGAACUUUCCUGGUGCAUUUAUUCACGCGAAAUUAACAUCAUAGAGACUAUUUUUCAAGUGGAAAUAGUUCGUUGAGAAAAUAGUAGAAGGUGAAACUUCCAGAAUUGGGGAGAGAUCUACCGAGACUAUUUCAGGAGACACUUCAGGUGGGAUGCGAGAUUUGUCAAAUCGCUAUUCAGCACCUGUUAUAGGAGGCCAGAAGAUCGAUGUUGAAAAGUUUGAUGGGAAAAUCAACUUCGGCAUGUGGAGGCGCGAAGUUAUGGAUGCCCUUAUUCAAAUCGAUCUCGAUGUUGUUAUGAAAAAUAAAAGACACUUGUAUAAUGAAGAAAUUUAGGAUCGUAUGAAUGAAAAAGCCUGUGGUCAGAUCAGAUCUUGUUUGACCAAGGAGGUGAAAUACUUGGUGAAAGAUGAGGAGUGUGCGGUGACUUUAUGGCGUACAUUGGAGGAGAAGUACCUGGUGAAAAGUCCUGAAAAUCGCCUUCAUGCAAUGAGCCAAGUAUAUGGUUUUCGAAUGAAGCCUAGGGUGUCAAUGCACGAUCAUGUUUCAAGAUUUGAAAAGUUACUUGCUGAUUUGAAGAAUCUUGAUGAAGAUAUUAAGGAUGAAGUCAAGGCUAUAAUUCUGUUACACUCACUACCAGAGGAAUAUAGCCAUUUUGUGACUACUUUGAUAUAUGGGAAGAGUGUGAUCGUCUUUAAAGAUGUUUGCACAACAUUGACUAGCUUAGAGAUUCGGAAUAAUGAUAAAAAUUCUGAACGAGCAUCNNNNNNNNNNNNNNNNNNNNNNNNNNNNNNNNNNNNNNNNNNNNNNNNNNNNNNNNNNNNNNNNNNNNNNNNNNNNNNNNNNNNNNNNNNNNNNNNNNNNNNNNNNNNNNNNNNNNNNNNNNNNNNNNNNNNNNNNNNNNNNNNNNNNNNNNNNNNNNNNNNNNNNNNNNNNNNNNNNNNNNNNNNNNNNNNNNNNNNNNNNNNNNNNNNNNNNNNNNNNNNNNNNNNNNNNNNNNNNNNNNNNNNNNNNNNNNNNNNNNNNNNNNNNNNNNNNNNNNNNNNNNNNNNNNNNNNNNNNNNNNNNNNNNNNNNNNNNNNNNNNNNNNNNNNNNNNNNNNNNNNNNNNNNNNNNNNNNNNNNNNNNNNNNNNNNNNNNNNNNNNNNNNNNNNNNNNNNNNNNNNNNNNNNNNNNNNNNNNNNNNNNNNNNNNNNNNNNNNNNNNNNNNNNNNNNNNNNNNNNNNNNNNNNNNNNNNNNNNNNNNNNNNNNNNNNNNNNNNNNNNNNNNNNNNNNNNNNNNNNNNNNNNNNNNNNNNNNNNNNNNNNNNNNNNNNNNNNNNNNNNNNNNNNNNNNNNNNNNNNNNNNNNNNNNNNNNNNNNNNNNNNNNNNNNNNNNNNNNNNNNNNNNNNNNNNNNNNNNNNNNNNNNNNNNNNNNNNNNNNNAAGUCUUUGCAAACUCUGAUGAGGCAUGGACUCUUAAAAGGUACCAAAACCUGUAAAUUAAAUUUCUGUGAGCAUUGUGUAAUAGGCAAGAAAACAAGGGUUAAGUUUGGUACGGCUAAUCACGAUACUCGUAAGAUCCUUGAAUAUAUUCACAGUGAUGUAUGAGGACCAACUAAGACUGCAUCAAUUGGUGGAAGCCAUUAUUUUGUUACAUUUGUUGAUGAUUUCUCUAGACGUGUGUGGGUGUACACCAUGCGAGGAAAGGAUGAGGUUCUAGAGAUUUUCGUGAAAUGAAAGAAAUUAGUGGAGACUCAAACUGGCAGAAAGAUCAAAGUAGUACGAUAUGAUAAUGGGGGUGAAUAUACUUCUGAUCCAUUCUUGCAAGUAUGCCAGAACGAGGGUAUUAAAAGACAUUUCACGGUGAGACAUACUUCGCAACAGAACAGUGUGGCUGAGCGUAUGAAUCGUACUUUACUGGAGAAGGUACGGUGUAUGUUAUCUAAUACUGGUUUAGAUAAAAAGUUUUGGGUUGAAGCUGUGAGCUACGCAAGUCACUUGGUAAACCGAUUGCCUUCUGCUGCAAUUGGAGGUAAAACUCCUAUGGAAAUGUGGUCUGGAAAGUAUGCACAAGAUUAUGAUUCCCUUCGUGUAUUCGGGUGUCCAGCUUAUUAUCAUGUCAAAGAUGGUAAACUGGAUCCUCGUGUUAGAAAAGCUAUCUUUAUGGGAUUCAAAAGUAGAGUAAAGGGCUUCAAGCUUUGGGAUCUCGAAGACAAAAAGUUUGUGUGUAGCAAAGAUGUCACAUUUGAUGAAGCUUCAAUGAUCAAAGCUUCAAGUUCUCAGCAGGUGGAGAACAAGACCAAAGAGGUAUUGCAGCGGGUGGAGCUUGACGUAACUCCAUAUGUACCAGUUAGUUCUACAUCAAAGAAGAGUUCAACUAUAGAGGUGACACCUAGAGUUGAAGAAGAGGUUGUUUUUUCUGAUGUCCCACAAAAUGAAGAAACAAUUGAUGAUGUAGAUAAUGAUGAUUUUAUAGCAACAAGGAGGCCAAGAAGAGAGAUAAAGAAACCCAGAUGGCUUACUAAAGAUAUGGUGGUAGCCUAUGCACUUCCAGUUAUUGAUGAUGACUUCCCCAACACUUUCGGUGAAGCAUUACGCUGUAGUGAAAGUGAUCAGUGGAAGUUAGCCAUGGAGGAAGAGAUGAAAUCUCUCCAUCAAAAGCAGACUUAGGAACUUGUAAAGUUACCAAAGGGGAAAAGGGCUAUUGGCAAUAAAUGGGUCUACACCAAAAAGCAAGGAUCUCCAAAUCAAACAACUCCUCGAUACAAGGCAAGGCUCGUGGCAAAAGGUUUUGCUCAAAAGGAAGGUAUUGACUACAAUGAAGUUUUCUCUCCAAUUGUAAAACAUACUUUCAUUCGUAUCCUACUUGCCUAAGUUGCAGAAUAUGAGUUAGAGUUGGCUCAAUUGGAUGUUAAGACGGCGUUCUUGCAUGGAGAUUUGGAGGAGGAAAUCUAUAUGAUUCAGCCUUGUGGUUUCAGAGUUACUGGAAAGGAGAAUCAUGUGUGUAGGUUGAUUAAAUCUUUGUACGGACUGAAGCAAUCGCCAAGGCAGUGGUACAAAAGAUUUGAUCAAUUUAUACAAAGGCAGAAAUUCACCAGAAGUGAACACGAUCAUUGUGUUUACUUUAGAAGACUACCAGAUGAAGCUUUCAUCUAUUUGUUACUCUAUGUCGAUGGUAUGCUUAUAGCUUCGAAGAAUAGAGAUGAGAUCGAAAGAUUAAAGAAGCAGCUGGCUUCUGAGUUCGAGAUGAAAGACUUAGGUGAUGCACAGAAAAUACUUGGGAUGGAGAUUCGUAGAGACAAGAAGAAUGGGAGCGUAUGGUUGACUCAAAAGUUUUAUUUGAAGAAAGUGCUAGAAAGAUUCGGUAUGGAUGACAAAAUUAAAUCGAUAUGUACACCUCUAGCUCCUCAUUUCAAAUUAAGCUCUUAUUCAUGUCCUAGAUCUCAAGAGGAGUGCGAUUACAUGGCUCAUGUUCCAUAUGCUAGUGCUGUGGGUAGUCUUAUGUAUGCUAUGGUAUGCACAAGGCCCGAUAUAUCUCAAGCAGUGAGCAUGGUUAGUAGAUACAUGCAUAAUCCGGGUAAAAAUCAAUGGCUUGCGGUAAAGUGGAUUCUCUGAUAUCUAUAUGGGACAGUUGAUGUUGGGUUAUUGUUCAAGAAGGAUUGUGGUCAAUAAUGUGUUGGGUAUUGUGAUUCUGAUUUCGCUAGAGACCUUGACAAGCGAAGAUCAACAAUGGGCUACGUAUUCACAUUGGGUGGAGGUCUGGUUAGCUGGAGGUCGAUUCUACAAUCGACAAUUGCUCUAUCCACUACGGAAGCAGAGUAUAUGGCAGCAACUGAAGCUGUAAAAGAAGCUAUCUGGUUGAAAGGCUUAUUAGGUGAUUUGGGAGUAAUCUAGGAGAACAUUGCGGUCUUCUGUGAUAAUCAAAGUGCGAUAUUCCUUGCGAAGAAUCAAACAUAUCACGCUUGGACGAAGCAUAUAGAUGUGAAAUAUCAUUAUGUGAAAGAGAUUAUCGAGAGCGAUGUUGUGUUGUUGAGAAAGAUCGAUACCAAAGAUAAUCCAUCAGAUAUGUUGACCAAGGUAGUUUCUGGAGUUAAGUUUCAACAUUACUUGAAAUUAAUUCAAAUCCUUCGAUUGUGUUAAGAUAUGUCCUUCGGGAAUUUUGAACUACGGUUGGUUUGAUCCCAAAUUUUAGAUACGUAGGCAGUCAUAGAGAUGCAACCACUUUGGGGAUGAUGGCUUGUUGGUAGUCGACUCAAAUUUGAAAAAUUUUCGCCGAGGUGGAGAUUUGUUGAAGUCAACAAAUUAUUGGUGCAAAUUUGUUGAAGUCAACAAAUUGUUGGUGCACCAACAAUUUGUUGAAAAAUAAUAAUAAUUAAAAAUUAUAUUUUUAAUUAUUUUAUUCUUAGCAUAGUAAUUCAUUUCUCCUAUAAAUAGCUAAGGAUUUCAUUCAUUUGAAAUCAUCCCAAAAUUGUUAAGCUUAUAAGUUUCUAAGCUUUUGAGAGAAGUGAGAGAAGUGUGUCUGGGGAAUUUAUCUUUCCUACAGAGUGUGAGAGUACUGGGUAUAUUUGGGUUUAUAGGAAGUGAGAUUCGUUACUCAAAUAUUGUACUCUAUUAAUUGUUAAAUAAACAAUUAUUCUUUCUUACCUCCGUGGAUGUAGGUUUAAUUACCGAACCACGUAAAUUCUUGUUUCCUUUAUUUUUCUGUAAUUAUUUGGUGUGCUUGAUUCCGCAUUCCGCGCACAACAAAUAGAACAAAGACAGAAAAUACAUUCAACUGAACCCAACACCAGAAAGCAUCACAAAUAUUAUUUAUUUUUUGUACACAAUUAACGAACCAUCGCUGAAGCACAAAUCAAUGAACUCUCAACUGAAAAUCCGAAACGAAACUUCUUAUUUAUGAGUAGACAGCGGAAACAAAGAAACCAAAAAAAAGUCCACCACUGUAGGAUCAGGAUUUGUCUGUGUAGACAGUAGAAGUGAAGAUGGAAAGGAUUCUGGUUUAAAUUGAAGCUCAGGCUGUAGUCAUGAUGUUUUCUGCUCUGAUUUCACCUACACAAGUCAUUAAAGAAAUUGUGAAAAAGAAGAAUUUUAAAUUACAUUUUUUUCCUUAACUAUUAAAACAAAUGAACGCCGAUGUCUGCUAGGCUCAUGGUUGAAUGUGGAAGAGUAUUUAAGUCUCCGCUGCUGCUAAAUAGGGCUUGAUGAUUGGGGUGAGUAUCAGAAACUCUAAAGGGUACUUAAUGUUGAGACAAACUAGAAGAAAACACUCUGUAUAACCAUCUUUAUAUUGAAGAGAAGGGGGAAAAAGUAUAUGAAAUUUGAUAAAUAAUAAAAAGUUGAAGAAAUUAGAUAAAACACGAAACAAAUAUCAAAUUCAAUAAGGGCUAAUCAAAUUCCGUAAGGAUAUAGUUGAAUGCUGCACUGUUCCUUAUCCUCAAAUUCCCUUAGCUUUUGUCUCAGCUCUGGCUGAGGCCACCAGCAAUCGAACUUGUUUAAGCUCUUUACGCACCAGAGCUGUUCAUGCAUUUUUUUCAAGUAAGGACAAGGGUUGAUAAUCAAGCAUUCUAGUUUUGGCAUGGCUCCAAUCCCCAUAGUCCACUCCUCUAGGCAUAGCAUUGAUUUCAGGUGCAAUACCUUGAGAUUUGGAAAACCAUGGGAGCCACAAGUUAGCUUCCUACCUGAAUAUGAAUUUUGCUUCAGUUUGAGCACUUGAAGAAGUGGCAGCUUUUCUAGUGCGGGCAUGGGAUCCUCCAUAAGUUCAGUAUUAGAUAAACUCAAGUGGGUUAGUGUUGGAGGAAAAUGGGAUUCAACAAGGACAAUUUUAGAGAAAGCUGGCAUCUUGCUUUCGUUCACCAACUUCAAUGAUUCGAGGCAGCUUAAUCUGCAAAGACUACCCAUGUGAGCCAACUACCCAUGUUGCGAAGAUGAGCGACUUUUAAGAGGAAUAAAACUGUCUGCCUCUUGAGGGGUAUUUAAGAAAACAGUGUACACCAGAAGAAGGAAUGAAAAAAGAAAAUUAAUCUUCCAUCGUAGAGAAGGAGAGAAAAUUUAUAUUAUUUCAUCUUUUUUUCUUAUUCUGCUUUAGUUAUUUCCUUUAUAGUCAACUAUCUAAUUUACUCCAAAUCUAACUUAAGCAUCAAAGGGUUCUCGCCAGAUCCCCCACAGGCGAGUUGUGACCGGUUUCUGUAGCUUUCAAGUUGCAGAUUUAAAGUCCAUAUCAACAUUCAAAUUUUGUUCGUACUAGUUUUCCACCAAAAACAAAUUCAGCUGUUGAAGUCCUUUUUCAGCAUCAACAUCUUGGACAUUCUUAAGAUAGCAAAAUCAAUAAACUCAACAUUAUGUUACUGGCUAAAGAGUGAAGAAACCAUAAGAAUCCAAUGACAACCAAAGCAGAAGGAUCAAUUUUAAUACAAAAGGGAAUUCCUCUGCUGCAAACGAGGGCUUUGAUGUGAUUGUAAAGAAUUGAGAGUGAGCAGCAGUACAUCCUCUCGCCAUCAACUUCAUUGCACUGCAUUACAAGGCAAAUGUGAAAACGAUCACAACUGCUCUUUAUUCUCUUAGUGCAAUUGGGCUGCUAAUCAACCAAUAGAGAAAGAACUAAAUUUUAAAUAUUAAAUCUUAAAUCUUUAUUCGCUACAACUAAAUUUUAAAUCUUCCACUUUCAGAACUUUACUCGUUAAAUCUCCUCUUCAAUUCUACCUAGUCCUUACUGGAUCCUUAAAGUCACCAAGGAUUAGUGAUGGUUUUUUAUUUUACGAGGGCUGUUGGACAACCCAGAUUGACAAGGGCUAAAAUCUCCAUAUAUUUGGAGGCUAUGAAGAUUAGACAAUAUGCCCCAGUUUCUUUUUGUUGUGUUUAAUCCUCUGUUAGUACCAAGAUCACACACUUAAGACCCUCUUUGACGUAUCAAGAAUCAUUCCCAGAAAACCAAACUCAAAAUUGAAUCAAAGUGCCUACAUCCACUGAAGAACAAGGACCAUUUCACAAUCAUUCCAAGAAUAUAAAACUUUUUCUCUUUAAGUCUCUCUCUUUCUAUGGCUUUGAUGAGACAUGUGAAGAUGACCCAACAACCAUUUCACAAUCAGUUUUAAGAUGAUGAGAUGUGAUCACAGCACAAACAUUUUUCGUCUAACUGAAGUAAUGAGAUUGAACUGUACCACUAUUCAAAAACUAGAAAAAAGAUAAAAUAAAAUAAAAAACAAUAACAUAUAUGCAACUUGAAUGUUGACAAAUUGAAUACACACCGGUGAAUGUGAAAUAGAAAGUAAAACAAUUAAUCAAACUUUUGUACAAAAUAUUAAUCCGAAUAUGACAUAAUCCUUGAAAACAAAGAAACCAAACAAUUUCAGUGAAGACUGGAUUCUUAUUGAAAUUGAAACUUUGGCUGCAGUACAGUUAAGAUAUUUUCCGCUUUGCUUUGACCUACACAUUCAAGUAAUUGAAUAUCUUAUUUUUCAGUUUUUCUUGAUUAUUUCAACAACCAAUACAUAAGGGUUCUACCUCUUCUAUAAAUAAGGGAUUAAUGAUUAGUGUCAGUAUCAGGGAAUAUAAUGGACACUUCCAAGUCUUUGUUGUGAAAAAAAUUAGAAGCAACCACAAUUAGAAUGUAGAAAACACUUUAUGGUAUCAUUAUUAUUUAGGCUGCUACGUACUAUCAAAUCAAUCAUAGAGACUAGAUGUUUACGUGAAAUUAGAUAAAUAAUUAGAGGUUGAAGUUAUUGGAUAAAAAGGAAAAAAACUUACAUCAAAUUCGAUCCAUGCUAAUCAAAUUCCAUAUGGGUAUAGCUGAAUGCCAUACUGCUCCUUAUCCUCGAAUUCCCAUAGCUGUUGUCUCAGCUUGGGCUCAGGCCACCACAACUCCAAUUUGUUUAAGCUCUUUAGGCACCAAAGCUGUUCAGGAAUCCUUUUCAAGUGAGCACAAGGGUUGAUGAUCACGCAUUCUAGUUUCGGCAUGGCUUUAAUCCCCAUAGUCCAUUCCUCUAACCAUAGCAUAGAUUUAAGGUGCAGCACCUUGAGUUUUGGAAAGCCAUCAGAGCUACAAGCCAGCUUUCUACCUAAAUACUUCAGUUUGAGCACCUGAAGAACCGGCAGCUUUUCUAGUGCCGGCAUGGGAUCAUCAAUUAGCUCAAUAUUCGAAAAACUCAAGUGGGUUAGACUUGGAGGAAAUUGGUAUUCAGCAAGGAUGGUAUUGGAUCGCCGUGGCAUCUUGCUUUCAUUCGCCAACUUCAAUGACUCGAGGCAGCUCAAUCUACAGAGACUUUUGGACAACAAAGAUUGAUAAUAACUUAAAUCUCCCCAUAUCCGGAGAUUUUGAAGAUUAGGUAGUCUGCCCAAUAUCUCUUCAGUAGAGCAGCAAGGAUGCAAGGCUAAAAUGAAAUUGAGAUUUUAUAGAGAGCCACAAUAUUUUCCUGGAUGUGCAGGAAGUGUGAUCGCUCCAAAAUUUAGAUACCUCAGUUUGCUCAUCUUCCAAAAUUCAUCUGCUGUAUGAUCUAUGUAGCUAAAGGGCAUCUCUAGGGUGUACAGGUUCAAAAGACUGCUUAAGAACGAUGAAGGCAGGCUUUUGAGGGAGGGGAUAAUACUCUGAGAAAUUUGAACAUUUUACAGAUUUUCUUGCAAUAAGUGGGGUCAAGGUAUUGGCUUCCUGAAGUGAGGUACAACAAAGAAUGGAGGAACGAGUCAAAAUCAUCUAAAAAUGUAAAAUGAUUCAAUUUUCCGUGAGCGGUGAAGCGUUUCACAUUUUCCCGUAAUCUAACUUCCUGAUCCAUGAUUGGGGAAAUGAUAAAUUCCCCCUUGAAAGCCACAGUCAACAAUGCAGGACUGCAACUCCCAGGAAUAGAGCUUGUGUUGAUUCUGCUUAUAUCACUUCUCUUCCCUGCAUCAACAAAGGCUCCAUUGAUUAGUUGUUCCAAGUACUUCUCAGUAAUUGCCUCGUUGUUGUCUGGAAUGAAACCUUCAGCUAUCCACAACUGAUAUAAUUGCUUGGUUCAUAUCUCAAAGUGUACGCGAAACACAGAUAAGUAGAGACAACAAAGUUUCAAGUAAAAAGGUAACAUACAAUAUGCAACGACUUGAAGCCCUCGGGGUUCAUCAAGUGCUUCCUCUAUAUUUUCUUUCAGUGAGAUGCUUCCAUGAUAUAAGAUGUGGAAAGGCCAUCCUUGGUAUGUAACUCUCAAUGGUCCUCCAGUGGGCACAAAAUCAAGCCCAAUGUUCUCUCCAUUUUCGAACUGAAAUGAGGUGACGAUCUCAAUUUGACUGAGUGUUAUCAAUACUCUACUUCCAAUCUGAUUAUCGGGAAGUAUUCUCGAAUAACAUCCCAUACUGAUAUUCUCCACACAUUAUCAAGCACAAUCAAAUACCGCUUGGUCAUUACAUAUUCAUGAAGAAUAAUUUUUUUCAUUUCCGAACUUUCUUUCAUAAUUUCACUUAACCUACGUGAAGGCAUCACAAACUUAAUAAUGUCGUAUAAUAUUUGGUCAGCAUCAUAUAGUAAAGACUCUUCAACCCAAGCGUGACAAUCAAAAUAAUGCUUCACAUAGUUGCUGCUGUAAGCCUCUGCGGCGAAAGCCGUCUUGUCCAAUCCAAUGCUAUCAAGUACGGCCACUACCGAAAGUUGAGGCGGUCCCUCUAUCAAUAGAUCUAAUAACUCCUCCAUUCUAUUAUCUAGACCCACCGUGUCCCUAUCCUUAAAAGAUGAGGAUGCAGGAAAAUUACCGGCUUUUGCUUCAAUCGAUUUGAGCCCAUCAAUGAUUCCGGAGUGGAUGUGCUGAACUUGCUGCAUCCGUUGUUUUAUAUCAAUGAUNNNNAUUUUGUCAAUGAUAGCCUUAAAAUCUUCUAAUUCUGCAAGAGUUUGACCCUCUUUUGCAUUGACUUGCCACAUAAACCAAGCAGUGUUGUAUCCACAGUCCCUCAGCCAAGAAGCAAUGAUUUCAGUCUCAGUGUAAAGGUUCUGAAUAGGUUGUUUAGCAGCAUCGGGCACUGUGAAUUCUUCACCAGCUGGCACCCUUCUCAGUCUCUCUGAAAAUAGUCCAAGGUUGAUGUCCAUAUCUCCUUCACUCUCAGUAGUCAGUAGCCAGCAGCUCUAGCAUGCAAAGAAAAUAAUUAUAAAAAAAAAAGUUAAAAGCUCUCCUUUUACUUCAACAUUAGUCAACAUAAUCAACUGAGGAUGGCACCAAUACCUCAUUCUAUUAAGAAGUUGAAUCAAGUUCAGGUGGUUGUCAAAGUAGAAUAGAUCAAGGCAGAGCAGUACUGGAAAAUGAAUCUUAAAACUAAAUGCUGCAGGUGCCGUGGGGAUACUGAUUGAUAAGAGGAAUUAUAUUGAGAAAUUAUUGAUGUACAAUAAUGAUUUUCUGCACAAAAUCUGAGGUAUAAUGUAUGUGUACAUAAAAUAUUCUUUAUGCAAGAAGAUAAAAGGGUGUCUUAUAAUUUGUGUUUUAUAUAUAUGUGUAUGAAGAAAGUAAAAUAGGCUAUCAAGACUAGUUUCUUUUUUGCCCUAUCAAAAGACUGAAAGAUUAAAAAUAAUUCCACUGGGACCAUAAAACUUGUCUAGAGAGAAAAAGCAUCACCUUAGAAUCUGAUUCAUGUUAAGAAAUUGAGUUUUCUCCCAAGAUCACUACAAAUAAUUUGUCAAGAAAUAAAUUAACAGAAAAAAUUAAACGGAGAAUACAUCAGUCACACAUCACAAGAUUUACAUGGAAAACUCUAAAUCCGGAAGAAAACCACGGCUGUUGUCAAAAGACAACCAGAGAAAAAAAUAUUCAUUAUGUAGAAAAUUAUUACAACCACACUCUCAGAAAUAAUUUCUCUCACCCAAGCCCCAAAUACAUGAUCCCGAAAAAUAUUCUUUAACAAAACAAACCCGUAAUACCCAUAUUGAGGAGCCAAAUACUCCUAUUGAAUGCUCUUAAUUGGAUACAAAAGUGAGGAGGAGAACCCUCCUAUUUAUAGGCAAAAACUUGCAUAAUUAUGCCCACCAAUUUUGAUCAAAAUUGGUGGCUUAGCCAUCAAAUUUGAUGAACAAAUUUUGGUCAACAAAUUUGGUGGUUAAGCCACCAAAUUUGAAGCCACCUUUCUUUUUUUUAAAUCAAUUUUCAACAAUUCAUUGAUGCAUCUAAUGCAUAAUAGUUGCUAUUGUUAGAGAUUUUCUUUUCAAGCGCUCUACAGACUACAACAGAAUACGUUAUAGUUUGAAUCGUUAGAUGAUCAUUCCAAUAGGGCUAAAGGUGUUCAUGGAUUAGAUUCAGAUAUAUAUGAUUCCAUCUGAUUUGGAUUUGGAUGUUGCCAUAUAUAUCCGAUUGGAUAAAAUUUGUGCAUCUGAUGGAUUGGAUCCACUUUAAUUUAAACAAUUUGAUUGGGAUUGCACUACUAUAUAUAUAUAUAGGAAAAUGCUUAACGUCGGGAAGGCUGAGAGAACCCUGAGAGAAACGGCAGCUUGUGCUACCGUUUCCCGCAUGUUCUCUUAGCCCCACCCCCACUUUACUUUAAGCAUUUCCUCUUUUGUUUUUUAUAUUAUUUUAUCUCUCUUUUAUUUUUUUCUUCUUUUAUCUUCUUCUUCUUCUCUUUUUUCUUUCUCUCUCUUUUGCAAUUUCUUCGUUACUUAUCUCCAUCAUCAAUUUCAUCUUCUUCAUCAACAACAUCAUCAUCACAAUUAUCUUUAAAAUUCUAGUUAUACAAUCCAAGAGGGGGGUGAAUUGGAAUUCUAAAAAUUAUUCAAUUUAUAAAGAAAAACUUAAUGCAAAUAUAAACCAAAUUCAAAGUAAUAACAAAUAAGUUGAUCACAAUAUAAAAAGAUAAGGGAAGAGAGAUUCAAACACAGAGAUUUUUACGUGGUUCGACCAACCUCGCCUACGUCCACGCCUCCAAGCUUUCCGGGCUUGAGGAUUCCACUAAGCAAGCAUCCAAGGCUUCAAAUGCUUACACUUGACUUCCAACAUGUCAAUAACCUUUACAACAAGAGAUUAUCCCAAUCUCUUUAAUCCAAGUGUAUCCCAACACUUACAAUCACUCAAAAUAAAAGAUUACAAAUUUGUUUUGCCUCUCACAAUAUUUAAGAUUACAAAAUGAUGCCCAAUAUGUGAAUAGAUGAAGCAAGAAUGUGUUCAAAGCUCUAUGAAGAUUGUAUUCUCGAGUAUAAGCUCAAUAGUCGUGUUGUGAUCAGAUUUGUUUGAAUUUGAAUGAGCUUAUUUAUAGUUGGAGCUGAAAAAACUAGCCGUUACAAACUGUCUGCCCGAAAACGGUUCGCCGUUAAGCAUUAACGGUUAACCGUUUAGGCUGGUCAAAAGUUACCGUUGGGCCAAAUUUCAAAUAAAUGGUUUGCCAUUUAGGAUUACUCUUUCGCCGUUAAAUUUCAGAGACCUGCAAGAUAAACACCAGUUAUCCGUUUACAUUAAACGGUUAAGGAUUUGCAUGAAGUGACUUCUCUGGAUAUUAUCGGUUAACCGUUUGUAAUAAACGGUUCGCCGUUUGUUUUCAGUUACCUGCAAAAUAAUUUAGCCUUAUCCGGUUUUAUUAAACGGUGCCAGAAGAGUGCAACCUUCAAUUCUGGAUUUUAUCGGUUAACCGUUUAAAUAAACGGUUCACCGUUAAAUUUCAAUAGCCUUCCCAGCUUUUUGUGUUUUCCGUUUUUCUUAAUCGGUUAGAGCUUAGGCAAUAUGUUGCUCUCUGGUUUUAAUCGGUUAACCGUUUGAAAGAAAACGGUUCACCGUUUAUUUCCAGAAUCACAUUUUAAACCAGAUUUUGCAGAGAAUCAUUUUCUAAUUUGAAAGACCAUCUUUUAUGAAUAUGAUUAGAAUGAUUAUAAGGCUUUCGUUUAUUAAGGAAUAGCUUCAACAUUUUAAUAAAAAAUCAUUUAAAGUUUGUUAUCAUCAAAAUCAAUAUUAUUAACAUAUUCAUGUUAACAAUCUCCCCCUUUUUGAUGAUGACAAACUUUAUUCAAUAUUUUGCUCCCCCUUAAUAUAUGCUCCCCCUAAAUGUAUGGCCAAAUUAAGAAAUGUCCAAUAAAAAGACUUUUGCUCGAGAAAAUAUUUUUAAAUUCAUUUUAAAUCUCCUCAUAAUUAUCUCCCCCUUCAUCAUCAAAAAGAAAAGAGAGAAAGGAAAAUCGCAAAUCCGUUAAAGAAGUUACCCGAUUUUGGCGAGUGAAAAUUUUGGCAGAGUUUCCCCUUAAAAUGGAUCAAAACCACUAAUACAAAAUGAGAUUAAAACACUUACAAAAUAUAUUAACAACAACUCCAUCAUUCAACAAACCAACAACGCCAUGAACAAACAAACCAACAACUCCAUUAACCAAUAAACCAACAAUUUCAUCAACCAAUAUCAAGUCAUCCAACAUCAAGAACAUCAUAAAAACAUGUCAUCAAAAUCCAUAAAGAGCAUAUAGAGGUAGCAAUGUAUAUAAAAAUAUAAAUGGCAACACGCAAACAACCAAAAUAUGAAAUGUAUGUGCGAAAAUAGAAUUCAGAAACUAUGGAGGUGGAGAAGAUGUGCUCCCCGGAUCAUAGCCAAAAUAGUGGAGAAGAGUGUGCUGUCCAGCGAUAAGCUCAUGCUACUGAUCAAUGCUCUGCUACUGGAAGGUCUGAAAGUCAGAACGUAACUGCUGGUGGUCACGGGAAAAAGUGUCCAACCGAUCAAGAAUCAGCUGCUGGCGCUCCGAAAUUCGGUGAACAUCAGCAAUCAACUGCUGCACAACAUCUGAAGCAUGGGGCUGAACUAGAGCUGGAGGUGGUUCAGAGGCAGAUGGGUGCUCAGGAACAUCAGAUGGCUCAGGAGCAGGAGGCUGCUUGGGAGCUAGAGGCGGCUCGGAAGAGGAGGGAAUAUCAGCACCCAUCGCACGCUCCUCAGAGUCAGAGUCAGCUGAAGGCCAAGGGACAAAACGGCGAUGAGGAGGAUGAGGAUGAGCUCCUAAUCUAAAAUCUGGAAGCUUAUUGGGAGGAUAGACAUCGUUGAGCAUCCGAUCGUCCUCUGGAGCAAUCAAGGUAUCCCGGUUUUUGGAGUUGUUUGUCUUUAUCCACUCACCAUUCUUCCUAGUAAAACCGAUACUAGUCAUGGCCUCAGGACCAAUCCCUCUAGUCUCCAUAUAAGUGGUAUCAAGAAGAGGCACCUCAAAGCGUCGUAGUAUCUUAGUAAUGAUACUGCCAUAUGGAAGCAAGUGGUGGUUAACUGCGGGAGUACUCAACAUGUGCCGCACAAUAACAUAGCCGAGGUUAAUGGGACGGCUUGAAAUGAGACUAUCUAAUAGGCCAACGUCCAACCUCGUAACCUCAUCCGAGUGAACCUUCCUAGGUGUCACUAUGUGCUGUAAAAUAGUGUGAAGAAUGCGAACUUGGAGAGGUAAAAGUUGAGACCGAAAAGGUAGAAGACAGAUCUCAUCAGACAAGUCUCGACGACGACAAAUAUUACGGACUCCAUCAGUAUGAUAAAAACUGUAAAAAAAAAGGGCUUUCCUAGAGGUGUAAAUAUCAUGACCCUCACUAGAGAUACCAAGAAAGUCAGCUAGGUCCGCAUCAUCAAAUUCAAUAGGCACAUCGCCGACUUGAGUAACUAUCCUAUUUAGGCGAGUUGCGAAGAUUUCCAUGUUCGAAUAAAAGACUCGUACUAAGUUGGGAUAAACUCGGUCAUCAAAGUCAAUGGCAGACUCCCAAGGCUGAAGCAUAUCCCUAAUACUUCUACCACAUACAACUAAGGUACUGAAAUCAUCUAUUUCAACAUAAGAAGAGUCAAGUACCUUUCGACCAUUGAAGCGAUUCUCGAACCGCUUGGCCAAGGAAGGCAUGGGGAAAUGAAUUAUUGCGAAUUCAGAGACUUCCCGUAGUGGUAUAGGGUUCCUUGGAGGCACAGAUUUUCGCCUGAGAUUUCUCCGAGGGGGUGCAGCCAUGGUGAAGCACAAAGGAGUUUGAAAAUUACUGGAGAGAUGUGAUGAGAAGAAGAUGAAUCGAUUAUUUGCUUAGGAAUGAGUAAAUGAUGUGAUUUUGAUGCUUAAUUUGGCUGAAGAAGGGGAAGAAUCGGGUUAAAAAGGAAGAAACCCGAGCGGCCGCAGUUAGGGUUUAGAUUUGGGAUUUUUCAAUUUUGGGCUUGAUUUGAGGAUUUGAAUCGGUGAAAGUGUUCUAAAGGUGAUAAGAAAUGAUGUUAUAGGUUUGAUUUGACAAGAAAAACAAGAAAAAUGAAGGUUUGAGGGGAGAGGAGGAUUCGGCUGUGCAACAAUGGCCGAAACGGUGAAGGGGCAACUGGAGAAGGAGAAGAAAAAACCUUUGAACAGUUUUAUAAUCACGAAAAUGGUUAACCGUUUAUUUAAACGGUUAAGGGGUAACUUCCAGAGGCUAAAGAAUGGGAAACGGUUAAAGGUUAAACUCUUAACGGCUGAGGAGUAACUGCUAGCGAGCUCUCUGAUUUUAAACGGUUUACCGAUUGCAACAAACGGUAAAAGGGUUAAAAGGCAGUCAACUUAAUCGAGUUUUUGGAAUAAAAUGGUACACCGUUUAUUGGAAACGGUUAGCCGUUUAUUUUAUCAAUAAUUUCGCACAUUUGAUUUAAUUUUUUGCCAGCAAAUAAUACAUUCCAAGAUCAUUUAAUUGAUCUAAAAAUGUUUCAUGAGCCAUUUUAAUGCAUGAUUCAUGAACAUGUAUUGAAGCAAUUAAUUCAUAUAAUCAAUCAAGAAUUAACAAAGCAAGCACAUCAUUUGAAUAUCAAGCUUAAGCAUUUAAAUCAUCAAUUCACCAAGAAGUCAAUCAAUUCAAUACACUCAGUAGCAUGAAUAGUAACGUUAAUGUGAAAAUUUCAUCAUUCCAAGUUCAUGCUGAAUCUUUGAAAAUUGUUCUUCACCAAGAGGUUUGGUAAAAAUAUCCCCCUUUUGAACAUGAUCUCUCAAGAAAUGAUGUCUUAUUUCUAUAUGCUUGGUUCGAGAGUGUUGAAUAAGAUUCUUUGAAAGAUUUAUAGCAUUAGUAUUAUCACACUUAAUAGGAAUUUGUUCUAGGUUAAUACCAUAGUCUCUAAGUGUUUGUUUCAUUCAAAGAGCUUAUGCACAAUAACUUCCUGCAGCUAUAUAUUCGGCCUCUGUAGUUGAGAGUACAACAGAAUUUUGUUUCUUGCUAAACCAUGAAACAAGUGAGUGACCUAGGAUAUAGCAUGUUCCACUAGUGCUUUUCCUAUCAACGUUAUAACUGGCAAAAUCCGCAUCCGAAUAACAUGUUAAAUCUAUAUGAGUUCCCCUAGGAUACCAAAGGCCAAUAUCUACGGUUCCACUCAAAUAACGGAAAAUUCUUUUAAUAGCAAGCAAAUGAGAUUCCUUGGGACAAGAUUGAAAUCUUGCGUACAAGCAUACACUAAACAUGAUAUCGGGUCUACUUGCAGUUAAAUAAAGUAAAAAUCCGAUCAUACCUCGAUAUAUUUUUAUAUCUACUUCCUUGCCUUUUUCAUCUUUGUCAAGUUUGGUUAUUGUGCUCAUUGGAGUGUUUUUGGUCUUUGAGUCAUCAAUGCUGAAUCUUUUGAGUAGAUCUUUUACAUACUUGGCUUGAUUUAUGAAAAUUCCUUUCUCAUUUUGUUUUAUUUGCAGCCCAAGGAAGUACUUCAACUCUCCCAUUAUACUCAUUUCAAAUUCAUUACUCAUGUAAGAUGAAAAUUCUUUACACAACAAUUCAUUAUUAGAACCAAAAAUAAUAUCAUCAACAUAAAUUUGAACAACAAGUAUGUCUUUUUCCUUAUGUUUGACAAAUAAAAUAGUAUCCGCUUUACCCAUUGAAAAAUCAUUUUCUAAUAAGAAAUUCUUAAGUCUAUCAUACCAUGCUCUAGGUGCUUGUUUUAAGCCAUACAAAGCUUUAAAUUACUUAUAAACAUGAUUUGAAAAUCUUUCAUUUUCAAAACCAGGGGGUUGUUUUACAUACACUUCUUCCAUUAUAAAACCAUUCAAAAAGGCACUUGUCACAUCCAUUUAAAAUAAAAUAAAAUCUUUAUGACAUGCAAAUGCCAACAAUAUUCUAAUUGAUUCUAGUCUAGCUACGGGUGCAAAUAUUUCAUCAAAAUCAAUUCCUUCUUCUUGGUUGUAACCUUGAGCCACUAAUCUAUCUUUAUUCCUUACAACCACACUGGAUUCAUCCAUCUUAUUUCUAAAUAUCCAUUUAGUACCUAUGACGGAUUGAUGUUCCGGUUUAGGAACUAAUUCCCAUACAUUGUUUCUUUCAAAUUGAUUUAACUCCUCUUGCAUUGCCAUAAUCCAAGAUCAUCAUUUUCCGCAUCCGCAAAGGAUUUGGGUUCAAUUUGAGAAAUAAAUGCAUUAUGCUCACAAGUAUUUCUAAGAGAUGAUCUAGUUGUAACACCUCGUGAGGGAUCUCCUAAAAUUACAUCCUUAGGGUGAGAAGAAACAUACCUCCACUCCUUGGGAAGUGAUUGAGAUGCACUUUCAUUGUGUUCUACAUUCAUUUCUUCAUGUUGCUCAUCUUGAUUCCCAUGAGACGUAUCCUUUUGGUUAUCUUUUGAUGAUUCUUUUUUUAAGUCUUCAUCUACAUCAUUAUCAACAACAACUUUCUCCGUAGAUGAGGGGUUAGACUCAUCAAAAGUAACAUGCAUAGAUUCUUCUACAACUAAUGUAUUUUUGUUAUAAACUCUAUAAGCUUUGCUUGAGUUUGAAUAUCCAAGAAAAAUACCAACAUUAGAUUUUGGAUCAAAUUUGCCAAGAUUGUCUUUUGUGUUCAAAAUAAAACAUUUGCAUCCAAACACUUUGAAAUAACCAAUGUUGGGUUUUCUAUGUUUCUAAAGCUCAUAUGGAGUUUUGUUAAGGUUAAGUCUAAUCAACACACGAUUUAAAACAUAACAAGCGGUGUUGACGGCCUCGGCCCAAAAAUACUUAGGCAAUGAAUUUUCAUUCAACAUAGUCCUAGCCAUUUCUUGAAUGGAUCUAUUCUUUCUCUCAACAACUCCAUUUUGUUGUGGAGUUCUAGGUGAUAAAAAUUGAUGCUCAAUGCCAAAAUCAUUACAAAAAAUCUCAAAUGCAUGAUUUUCAAACUCUCCUCCAUGAUCACUCCUAAUGCAUGCAAUACCAUACCCUUUUUCAUUUUGUAUUUUCUUACAAAGCACUUUAAAGGUAUCAAGAGCAUCAUCUUUAUUGGCUAAGAAUAAUACCCAUGUAUAUCUAGAAUAAUCAUCCACUAUCACAAAUGCAUAAUAUUUGUAAUUUAAACUAGCAUAUCUAGAGGGUCCAAAUAAAUCUAUGUGAAGAAGUUGAAGUGGUUUUGAAGUAGAAAUACGAUUUUUAUUUUUGAAAGAUGUUUUGAUUUGUUUUUCAAAUUGACAAGCUUCACAAAUCUUAUCUUUUUGAAAACCAAUUUUUGAAAGACCUUUAACUAAAUCAUUUUUCAAAAUUUUUGAAAUCAAAUCCAUACUUGCAUUUCCUAACCUUCUCUGCCAUAACCAACUAUCAUCAUGCAAUGCCGAAAAACAUUUAUCAAGAGUAGAUGCACAUUCUAUGUCAAUGAUAUAAACAUUACCACAUCUAUUCCCACUUUUCAGUCAUGUGCCUUGAACAACCAUUGUCCAAGUAUCAUUUAUUUUUCUUCUUCUUUAAGCCCUACAAGAAAAAUCUCAAGUUUUAGGUACCCAAAGCUUUUUUGGUCCUUGAGAGUUAGCAACGGUUCCUUUUGGAACCCAAAUACAUUUGACACCAUAAUAUGCAUUCCUUUUCACGGGACAUCUAUAUUUCAUGUGACCAUUUUGAUUACAAUAAUGGCAAACAAUCUUAUGAUCACGUGUGGAGGUAGCUUUAACAAAAUAAUUCUUAUAAUACUUUUGCUUCAAGUUAGGCUUAUACCCAAGUCCUCCUUUAUCAAAAACACAUUUUUGUGAGUUAAGCAUAUUAUCCAACAUCUUUUGCCCAUUUGUAAAUUUCAAAACAAUUUCAUUCAAUUCAUUACUCUUUUUCUUGAGCAUUUCGUUCUCAUUUUUCAACUCAUCUAUGUGUGAUUCUAAAUGCUCAUGUGAGAUGCUAGGUUUCUCAUUUGAUAAUGCAAUUUCAUCAUGCAAUGUUUUGUUCUCUAUUUCUAGGCAUGCAAUUCUUGCAUUUAGAGAUUCAUUUUCAUUUUUAAGCUUUGCCAUUUCCUUUUUAAGACAUACAUUCUUUUUACCAAUCUUCAUCAACUCAUUAUGCAAUUCUUUAAAAGCAUCAUACAAUUCAUCAUUGGUGGGAUCACUUACCUCAUUGAGAUCAUCAUCCCCUCUUAUUGCCAUAAGCACUAGGUUUGAUACUUCUUGCAAUCCUUCUUCAUCACUUGAAUCUUCCUCGCUAUCAUCCCAAGUUGCAACCAAUGCUUUCUUCUUGAGUUUUUUGAUAAGUGGGCACUCCGAUCUUAUAUGGCCAUGCUUCUUGCAUUAAUAGCAUGUGAUUACCUCUUUCUUCUCCCUUUGGUUCUUGAAGUUUCUGAAAUUUCUUCGCUCUACGGUUUUCUUGAAGAAUUUUCUGAACCUGCUUGCUAGCAUGGCUAGCUCUUCAUCAUCCGGUUCACUCUCCCCAUCACUCUCAUAUUUUGAAGAUUUGAGAGUAAUGCUUUUCUUCUUCUCCUCAUGCCCUUUUUCUGCUGCCAAAUCUUCUUCAUAUGAAAUGAGAGAACCAAUUAAAUCAUCGAGGGCUAAAGUAUUUAAAUCUUUGGCCUCUUCAAUAGCGGUUCUUUUUGGUCUCCAUUCUUUUGGAAGUGACCUAAUGAUUUUCUUAACUUUUUUGCUAUUUGAGAAGGUCUUUCCUAAGGCUCUUAGGGUGUUUACUAUGUCCGUAAAUCUCGUAUACACAGAGUACACACUCUCAUUUUAUUCCAUUUGGAAUAACUCAUGUUGUCGAGUGUACCUACUAAUUUUUGACUCUUUCACUUGAUUUGUGCUUCAAGUUUGUGCUAAAUUUCAUUGGCACUUUCACAACUAGAUACUCGAUGAAAUUCUUUUUUAUCAAGUGCACAAAAUAAAGCAUUCAUAGCUUUGGAAUUUAGAGAAGCUUUUCUCUUUUCCAAUUCAUUCCAUUCCGUUGAAGGUUUUGGAAUAUCUUCCCCGAAUUCAUUUUUAGUUAGGGGCAAAAACAGACCAUCGCGUACAACUUCCCAAAUUUCAUAAUCUAAAGCUUGCAAAUAGAUUCUCAUUCUAGUUUUCCAAUAUGCAUAGUCAUUACCGUCAAAGAACGGUGGUCUAGUUGUGGAUUGCCCUUCUCUAAAGGUUGAGUCAUUUAGGGUUGCCAUAGAUCUUUUACUCUAGACGAUUAAGUCCUAAUAAGAGAACAAGGCUCUGAUACCAAAUGAAAUUCUAGUUAUACAACCCAAGAGGGGGGGGUGAAUUGGAAUUCUAAAAAUUAUUCAAUUUAUAAAGAAAAACUUAAUGCAAAUAUAAACCAAAUUCAAAGCAAUAACAAAGAAGUUGAUCACAAUAUAAAAAGAUAAGGGAAGAGAGAUUCAAACACAGAGAUUUUUACGUGGUUCGACCAACCUCGCCUACGUCCACGCCUCCAAGCUUUCCGGGCUUGAGGAUUCCACUAAGCAAGCAUCCAAGGCUUCAAAUGCUUACACUUGACUUCCAACAUGUCAAUAACCUUUACAACAAGAGAUUAUCCCAAUCUCUUUAAUCCAAGUGUAUCCCAACACUUACAAUCACUCAAAAUAAAAGAUUACAAAUUUGUUUUGCCUCUCACAAUAUUUAAGAUUACAAAAUGAUGCCCAAUAUGUGAAUAGAUGAAGCAAGAAUGUGGUCAAAGCUCUAUGAAGAUUGUAUUCUCUAGUAUAAGCUCAAUAGUCGUGUUGUGAUCAGAUUUGUUUGAAUUUGAAUGAGCUUAUUUAUAGUUGGAGCUGAAAAAACUAGCCGUUACAAACUGUUUGCCCGAAAACAGUUCGCCGUUAACCAUUAACGGUUAACCAUUUAGGCUGGUCAAAAGUUACCGUUGGGCCAAAUUUCAAAUAAACGGUUUGCCGUUUAGGAUUACCCUUUCGCUGUUAAAUUCCAGAGACCUGCAAGAUGAACAUCAGUUAUCCGUUUACAUUAAACGGUUAAGGAUUUGCAUGAAGUGACCUCUCUGGAUAUUAUCGGUUAACCGUUUGUAAUAAACGGUUCGCCGUUUGUUUCCAGUAACCUGCAAAACAAUUUAGCCUUAUCCGGUUUUGUUAAAUGGUGCCAGAAGAGUAUAACCUUCAAUUCUGGAUUUUAUCGUUUAACCGUUUAAAUAAACGGUUCAUCGUUAAAUUCCAGUAGCCUUCCCAGCUUUUUGUGUUUUCCAUUUUUCUUAAUCGGUUAGAGCUUAGGCAAUAUGUUGCUCUAUGUUUUUAAUCGAUUAACCAUUUGAAAGAAAACGGUUCACCGUUUAUUUCCAGAAUCACAUUUUAAACCAGAUUUUGCAGAGAAUCAUUUUUUAAUUUGAAAGACCAUCUUUUAUGAAUAUGAUUGGAAUGAUUAUAAGGCUUUCGUUUAUUAAGGGAUAGCUCCAACAUUUUAAUAAAAAACCAUUUAAAGUUUGUUAUCAUCAAAAUCAAUAUUAUUAACAUAUUCAUGUUAACAAUCUUCUUUUUCCUCCUGUUAGUUUUGUUUCUUCUUCUCCAUCAACAUCAAAAUUUGGUUUCAUCUUCUUGUAUAAUUAAAAGGCAAGCACCCCUUUGACUUGGAAUCAAAAAAUCGAAAUCAAUACAGGUGUUGUUCUUCAUUUUUUUGGGUUUUUUAGAACAAAAAAUAGGGGAAAUACACUUGGAAUAAUGGAGAGACCGGACGAAGUGACGAACCGGACUGGUGGUGUCUGUCGUGAUGAGCUGAAGAGAAAGAGGUGGUUGUCGGUAACGAUGCCAUUGAUGAGAGAGAGUGCCGAUGAAAUUGAGGGAAGGGAGAAGAUACAGUAGUUUCUGGUGCUGGAGAGAUGAGUUGACUGCAACAAAAGGCUGACUGCAGCAAAUGUUAUGUUAAAAAGAAAAGAGAAAGUAACGUGGGAGGUGGGGCCAAGAGAACACGCGCGAAGCGGCAGCACAAGCUGUCGUUUCUCUUAGGGUUCUCUCAGCUUUCCCGACGUUUAGCACUACUCGUAUACUGCUGUACGGCCAAGGCGGAUGUACGGUACAGCAGCCCUUUCAAAUUUUUGUCUGAAAUAUUUAUCAGAUCCGAUUUAUUUUAAAUCCGAUCGAUUGUAUUUGAGAUUCAGGUUGGAUUCGAAUGAUUUUUUUUCCUAAUCCAAACAAUUCAAAAUCCAAUCGCACUUAUCCAAAUCUAAAGUGCAAUAUUCAUCUCUUUUUCAUAUAUCCUUUGCUAAAUGAAAGUAAUCAUGAUGUCGGGCCCUUCUUUAAAAAAAUAAUAAAAAUCUUCAAUUUAUAUGCAACUCCUUUCUCAUUAUUACUCUUCUUUGUGUUCGACUAUUGUAGUGCUUUUUCUUCUGAGAUAAACUUUAUAGUCCCUAGUGUGAUUGUUUUUACCUUUUCUUUCUUGAAAGUGGAUAAAACAAAUUGAUCUUUGAUUGAUACUUGAUGAUGUCCUAUUUUCUUUUUAUUUUCAUAUUUCUUUUUUCUAACAUAUUGGGGUACGCAAUUGAAAUAGAGGUUCAUUUGUCACAACAGUCCACGCUAAUAUAGACUAUCAAGUUGUGACAGGAAUUAGUCCAUUUGUGCAGCCACAUGACAACAUUUAAAGUCGUCCCACUGCAAGCAAAUAAAAUUAGGUGCCACGGAUUUAAUGGGACAAUCAAUAAAAUUAUGUCCACUGUUUUUUAUUUACUCAUAGUUUAUAAUUAAGUUUUAGAAUAAAUAUGUGACUAGAUUUUAUUUGACAAAGAAAUUGCGUACACUCGUAUGCAACUGUGACAUCUAACUAUCUCUACCAUUUCCAAACCAGAACUUCUAUGUCAUGUUUAAAACACGAGCAAGGAAUUUUAAGUUGGAGAAAGACUUUAGGUAGAAUAGAGACACAAUAUAUGAAAAAGUAAAUGUAUGCGUUAUGAGAUUUUCGAAGACAAGCAUAUUUGUUGACUCGGUAGUUACAUCGAAGUCUUACUCUUCGAGUUAAGUCAACGGUGCAAAAUUCAUGGAAUCUGCAUUUAAUUGUCUGGCUAAUGGGUUCUCAAAUUGCAAAUGAAAGAUAAAAAGCUUUGGUUACACACACACACCCAAAAAGAGAAAAAAAAAUGCCGCCACUGGGCUAGAUACUGUUUAGGAAAUGAAAUAUGGUGACUAAGAUAAAGGUGUUUGCUCAUACAUUAUCGUGCUCUCCUCAAAGUAAAAGUGAGCAAAUGGUUGAGCAGAUCACCUCGACCAGGAUGUUGUUUGGUGACCUCGAGCACAUCACCUCGACCAGGAUGUUAUUGGUCACCUCGAGCCGAUCAUCUCGACCAGGAUGUUAUUGGUCACCUCGACCAGAAUAAUAUGUGGUGACCUCGAGCACAUCACCUCGACCAGGAUAUUAGUGCUCACCUCGACCAGAAUAAUAUGUGGUGACCUCGAGCACAUCACCUCAACCAGGAUGUUAUUGGUCAACUCGACCAGAAUAAUAUGUGGUGACCUCGAGCACAUUUUCUCGACUAGGAUGUUAUUGGUCACCUCGACUAGGAAGUUACCAGGAAGCACGAUUCAGUCAAAACAUUUUCUCCGAAAUAUUAGGGACCAUAUUCUUAGUGGGCUGAAAAUUAGUAAAAAUUAGUAGUUUUCUUGAGAAUUCUAGGGGAGAGGAUAAAAACCGCUAUAGUUUCCUAUAAAAACCCUAGGAAGGGGAAGGAAAAAAGGGAUUCUUCUAGCUCUCUCUCUCUCUCUAGGCAACUGAAUCCAUUGGACCUUUUUCUCUCUCUACCACUGGAAAAUUUCUCUUUCGCUUAGGAUUUUUUUAAGAUUAAUUAUUCUCAGUUAUUUUCCUUUAAAUUUACUUAAAAGCUUUUUUGUUUAAAGCAAUCAUAAUUAAUUCACAUGAAUUGUGGUAUGGAUUUUUCCAAGUAAGACCCAAAUCGCUGACUUGAGCAUCGGAGGGUUCUUGCCAGAAAAACUUUCGGCACUUUCUGACUGUUGGUUGUGCUCACAGGCUCACAGGUUAUCUGCUCAUGAGUUCUCUGCUCAUGGAUCGUCUGCUCAUGGAUCAUCUGCUCAUGAAUUGUCUGCUCAUGGGUUGUCUGCUCAUGGAUUGUCUGCUCAUGGGUUGUCUGCUCAUGGAUCGUCUAUCCAUAGAUUAUUUGCUCAUGGAUUGUCUGCUCAUAGAAUAUCUGCUCAUAGAAAUUCUGCUCAUGGUGUUAACUAAUCAGCAGCUUCCCACCAAACAAAUUUAAUGCUGAUGCAGGGAUUUGAGAUUCGAUCCACUCAUCCGGAUUUCGGCAUCAACAGAUACAAUUAGCUGAAAUGAGGAUAUUAAAAAGAACACGUGCUCUAUUUAAUUGGUAGAGUAUUAAUGGAGCUUGUGUAAUUGUACAUUUACUGUUUUUUAAGGUUAUUUUUCAUAUAGUAGAAAGAUCAUAAAAUGUUUUUAUUGAAUUACACUCAUUUAAUGUAUGUAUGAUAUAUAUGCGUAUGAAUUAAAUAUAAAUAUAGAUAAAGGACAGUGUAUGCCAGCAAGAAAACUUUUUCUCUAGAUUGAAAAUGAUUUAAAAGAACCAUUUUUCUCCCACUAAUAUCUUCAAAAUCAUUAUUGUUAAUAACAGAACCCAAAAAAUAAUUAAAUAAUCUCUUGUUUAAUAUGUUGCAUGCUUGCAGAAAAUUGCGGAUGAUUGAACCAAUAAUUCAACCUUUACUCCAUGAGCUUUAAACUAAUAAUCUGUCAUCAGUUAUUGUCUAAAUAAAGAAAUUUAUGAAUCGGUAUAAAAUGGGGUCCCAAAUCCUGACCUACAUUGAAAAUUAGGAUAUGAAAUUUGUAACAAAUCUUAUAUAGGGUUUGUAUCUCGAUUGUUAUCUGGAUAAUUUUGCCAGCCUAGGUUCACGUAUUAACAGUUAGAGCGGGAGAUCCCAAAAAAGGGUAUCUUGAAUUUAACCAAAUUCAUUAUAAGGAUAUAUGGACCCAUUUGAUUGCCUAAGGGAUCUCGAAUGAAAUUUUCAAACAUCUCAAAUCCUGCCUUGAUUAUUAAAUUGGAAGAAAACUAGAUCUUGAAUCUCAACUCGAAUAAUAAAUCAGAAUGAGAAAUUUUUAUCAAAUCUUGUAUCAUUUAGGACGGACUCCCAAAUUCCAAUCGAGAUUUGAGGAAUUUUGUAUUAGCAACUAGAGCCGAAGAUCCCAAAAAAUAUCUUGAAAUUAACCAAAUUCACUAUAAGGUAUGAACUCAUUUGAUUGCACCCUUAAAAAGUAUUACAGAUGACACCACACAAUCAUAUUAUUAAAACAAACCAAACCACACAUAUCCAGGCUUAGCAUGUAUAUAUAAGAGCACAAAAAAUAACUUCUUUCUCGUUAUAAAGGAGAACAGAAUCAGCUAGAAGCAGGGGAAUCAAAGUACAACAGAAAAUAAAAGAAAAAAAAUGAUACACAUUCAUUUGUUCAGCAAAAACCAAUGACUAUAAGGUGAGCAUGAGGCAUCAACCUUUAAAAUUGGACAGAAUAAGCUAAUUCCUUAAAAUUCACAUGCUAAUACUAUUUAUAAUUUCUAAGUCCAAAGUUUAAAAUAAUAGGUAGUAUUUGUUCAAAACAAGCAUUUAUAAUUAUUAUUCGGAUGAUUAUUUCAAGAAUCUAAGAUAAUAACAAUCCAGUAUUCAAGUUAUUUAUGAAUGAUUAGGGCUUAAAAUCUCCAUAAAAUUGGAGAUUCUGAAGAUUAGGCAAUAUGUCCCAGUUUCUAUUUCUUGUAUUUAGUCCUCUAAUGUAUCAACAAUCAAUGCUAGAAACCCAAUCCCCGAAAUUGAAUUAAAAAAAUAUAGAAAACAUAGAGCAAAUCAACAGUAGAUUCAGCAGCGAUGAUGCCUACAUCCAAACUUCUCUUCUAAUGGAAGUGAUGCAGAAUUCCCUUAAGAUAAUUAUGACCAUUAACAUGUAUUACACAUGGUACGACCAAACCACACACGUCCACACUGAACUGGAGUUUCAAGCACAUUACGAGAAUGAAGACACACGAAUAGAAUAUACACAGUGAAUCCAAAAACUUGACAUGAUUGCUUGUAGCAGAUCCUUGAAAACAAAGAAACCCAACAAUGUCCUGCAUCAAUCCUGAGGACUCAAUAAUGUGUAGACAACAGAAGUGAAUAUUGAAAGGAUCAAGGCCGGAUUCUAGUUGAAAUUGAAACUUUUGCUGCACUACAGUUGACAAAUUUCCCGGUCUGAUUUCACCUGCGCAAGUAAUUUAAGAUCUGAAAUUAUAGUUUUUCCUCACUGUUCAACGAUCAAUACACAAGGGUUCUGAAAUUAUAGUUUUUCCUGACUGUUCAACAAUCAAUACACAAGGGAAAAUGGUCGGGGUCAACUUCAGGAUCUGUGAUGAACACUUCAUCUCUAAUGUUGAGACAAAAAUUAGAAGCAACCACAAUUAGAAAACACUUUAUAGCAUUAGGAAGCUGCGUACUAUCAAAUAUAUUGAGGAAAAGAAAAAACAUAUGUAUGAAAUUAGAUUAAUAAUUAAAGGUUGAUGAUAUUGCAUAAAAUGAAAAACUUACAUCUAAUUAAAUCCAUGCGAAUCAAAUUCCAUAAGGAUAUACUUGAUUGUCAUACUGCGCCUUAUCCUCAAAGUCUCGUAGCUUUUGUCUCAGCUUCGGCUAAGGCCUCGAAUUUGUUUAAGCUCUUUAUGCACCAAAGCUAUUCAGGAAUCUUUUUCCAGUAAGCACAAGUAUUGAGAAUCAAGCAUUCUAGUUUUGGCCUGGCUCCAAGCCUCAUGGUCCACUCCUCUAGCCAUGGCAUUGAAUUCAGGUGCACUAUCUUGAGCUUUGGGAAACCAUCAGACCUACAAGUCAGCUAUCGACCUGAAUAUGAGUUUUGCUUCAGUUUGAGCACUUGAAGAAGUGGCAACUUUUCUAGUGUUCAAGUGCAGGCAUGGGAUCAUCCAUUUGUUCAGUAUUAGAGAAACUCAAGUGGAUUAGACUUUGACGAAGUAGGUAUUUGGCACAGACGAUUUUGGAGAGCCUUGGCAUCUUGCUUUCAUUCACCAUCUUCAAUGACUAGAUGCAUGAGUUUAUUCAUCUUCCAAAAUUCAUCUACAGUGUAUGAUCUAUUUAGCUAAAGGGCAUGGCUAUGGGGUACAGAUUCAGAGAUUUCUUAAUAAUGAUGAAGCCAGGCUUUUGAGGGAAGGGAUAUUCAGCUUCAAAUAUCAAAAGAAAUAAAGUUUCAAUUUUGGAUGGAAAUUGGCUGAGAACAAGAGAUCCCAAGUCCAUUACUCAACCGAUUUUCACCCAAUCUAUGGGGUCAAGGUGGUCGCUUUCUGAAGUACAACAAAGAAUGCAGGUGCGAGUCACAAUCAUCUAAGUAAGCAAAAUCACUCUGUUUUUAAAAAACGUACACACGUUUGACAUUUUUUCGCAAUUUACCUUUUUGAUCCAGGAUAGGGGAAAAGGUAAAUUUCGCUUUGAGAGCCAUUUGCAACAAUGAAGCCCAGCAACGACUACGAAUAGGGCAUGUGUUGAUUCUACCUCCAUCGCUUCUCUUCUUUGCAUCAACAAAGACUCUAUUCAUUAGUUGUUCCAAGUACUUCUCGGCAAUUGCCUCGCUAUUGUCUGGAAUGAAACCUUCAGAUAUCCACAACUGAUAUAACUGCCUGGUGGAUGUCUCUAGGUGUACAGGAAACAUAGAUAAGUAAGGAAAACAAAGUUUCAAGCAAAAAGGUAAACAACUCUCAAUGGUCCUCUAGUAGGCACUAAAUCAAGCCAAAUAUUCUGUCCACUUUUAAACUGAAAUGAGGUGACGAUAUGAAUUUCAGUGAGUGUUAUUAGUACUCCACUUCCAUUCUGAUUAUCCGGAAGUAUUUCUUGAAUAACAUCCCACACUUCAAUGCUUCACACAUCAUCAACCACAAUCAAAUACCGCUUGAUCAUUAGAUAUUCAUGAAGAAAUUUGUUUUCAUUUCAUAAUUUUUAUCCUUUAUUACACUCAACCUAGAUGAAGGCAUUAGAAACUUAAUAAUGAUAUCUAAUAUUUGGUCAUCAUCACCAUCAUAGCUGUAAGGCUUUGGAACCUAAGCGUGACAAUUAAAAUAAUGCUUCACAUCACUGCUGCAUUAAGCCUCUGCAGCAAAAGCCACAUUGCCCAACCCAACGCUAUCAAGAUGGCCACCACUGAAAGCUGAGGUGGCCCCUCUAUUAAUAUAUCUAACAACUCCUCCAUUUUGUCUUCUAGACCCACCGUGCCCCUAUGUCCUUGUUGAGUGAUGCUGUUGAGAAUGUGUCAAUGACCUUCUCAGAUUCAUAUGUAAAGCAAUUGAUUUCUGGUGCCAAGGUCUGGGUUGUCAAUUUCAUCUUCUCCUAUUUUUUUGCAGCAGAAGCUAGGACAUAUCAUAUUCAAAGUCCCUCAGCCAAGGAGUAACGAUUUCAACCUCGGCACAAAGGUUUUGAAUAGGUUGUUUUGCAGCAUCAGGCAAUGUGACUUCUUCGCUAGCUAACGUCCUUCUCAGCCUCUCUGAAAAUAGUCUGAAGUUGAUGCCCAUAUCUCCUCAAUCCAAAAAUUAGUGCUGGCUCCCAUGCCUCCCUUCUCUUAGCUAGUACUCCACCCAAGCAGUUGAAUCAAGAUUGCUGACUCUCAAAUUAGAACAGAUCAAGGCAGAGCAGUGCGGGAAAUGAAUCUCACGAUACUCAGUCUUCCAUAUGUUGCAAAAAGAAUAAAGCAAAGAGAAAUAACUACAACAUCAUCAAGUAUCAAUCAAGACCAAUUUGUUUUAUACAUCCACUGUCAAUAAAGAAAGGGUGAAAACAAUUCCACUGGGACCAUAAAGCUUAUCUAAAAAGAAAAGAACAGAGUAAGCACAAGAGCAUUAUCAAUUAUUUAACAAUUUAAGCUGUGGAAAAAUAGAAAAUCAUGCCUGCCACUUAUUAAAGAAGCAAUAACAUAGCAACGUCAUAAAAGCAAUGGAUACAAUCAUUGCUAUAUGUUGAAAUUAACUAACUUCACAAUCUGGACAUGAACUCAUUUGAUUGCAACCAUUAAGUAGACUUAUAGAUCACAUGACACAUGAUCUUAUAAAUGGACUAAACAUAACAAAACACACAUCUCCAUGUCCAGGCUUUGGUGGCUACAUAAUUACAAAACAGCAUGUAAGUAUAUAAAUACAGAAAAAAAUUAUAAGACACAAAAUUUGUUCACAAAGUAAGAAAUUACCUCUUGUUGAUGAGUCCAGAAAUGACCGAGGUGUAGUUUUAAUUGAGCUGACGAUCUUCCUCCACAUACAUCACCAUUUUUUCUUUUUUGGACGCAAUGAGACAUGACUUGGCAUCAUUGUCAUUGAAAUACACCAGAUAUUUCUAGAAUGCCUGCGAAUCUAAUUUAUUUCCAAACACACUUGAGAAUUGGGAUUGUCAAUAAAAGAUGAACAUUGAUCAUUGAUGUGUAGGUUUCAAGUAUUUUGUGUAUGAUGCGGAGAUAAAUUAGAACUCUACAUGACCAUCUGAAGAAUUUUUUCUCAAAUGAAUCUUUUGAGUUGGAAUUUAGACAGAUUCACUAUCUAAGUAUCUUGAAGCAGUGGAGAAUACAUAUGACAAAGGUUGAAGUAACUAAUUUUAUGAGCAGGAACUGAAAUGAUUUUGGCAUGAGAUUACAACAGGUGAUUAACAUAUAUGCUUCGUCUAAGGCAGCCUCAUUUUAAGUGUUAUUUCAUCAGGUCAACAAUCUUCAGGAGAAAAAUGAAUCAAGGGCAAUAAAGGAGGUGGUUGAUGCUAGUGAUUCCUGAGUGUAGCAGCAAAAAUAAAACUAAAUUGUAGAUUUGCUGUAGUCUUACAAUAGACUCACCCUGUCCUUGUCCUUGUCCUUGUCCUUCUUCUUAUACUGAUGAAUAUGAGGCCGAUGAUAUUUCUGUGAAUAAAGAAAAUGAUAAUAGAAAUGGAACCAUUGGGCAAAUGGUACUGCUGUACCGUACAUCCGCCUUGGCCGUACAGCAGCAUCAGUAUGAUAAAAACUGUAAAAAAAAAGGGCUUUCCUAGAGGUGUAAAUAUCAUGACCCUCACUAGAGAUACCAAGAAAGUCAGCUAGGUCCGCAUCAUCAAAUUCAAUAGGCACAUCGCCGACUUGAGUAACUAUCCUAUUUAGGCGAGUUGCGAAGAUUUCCAUGUUCGAAUAAAAGACUCGUACUAAGUUGGGAUAAACUCGGUCAUCAAAGUCAAUGGCAGACUCCCAAGGCUGAAGCAUAUCCCUAAUACUUCUACCACAUACAACUAAGGUACUGAAAUCAUCUAUUUCAACAUAAGAAGAGUCAAGUACCUUUCGACCAUUGAAGCGAUUCUCGAACCGCUUGGCCAAGGAAGGCAUGGCAAAACUUAAUUAAGGCAAAUGGGUAUUCAACCACGUUGAGUUUUAUUCAACGUGGGUAUUAAUGGAUGAAUGAUUUUGGUAGAAUUAAAGUUUUUUUUUUCCGUUUUUGUUUCAUUUGUCAACUCCAUUUAAUCAAUUAAUCUCAAUGGCUAUAAGGAUCAUUUUUAAUGCAAACGGGUAUUUCUUUGCUGCAAAAGACGGCUUUGGUGUGAUUGUAAGGAAUUGAGAGUGAGCAGCACAUCCUGCGUGCCAUCAACUUCUUUGCACUACAGGCACCCUCUGCAUGCUGUGAAGGGAAAAAUGUGAAAACCAUUGCAUGCUGUGGGGCUGCUAAUCAAUCAAUAGAGAAAGAAUUCAGUAAUCAAUUCUAGCAAAGCUUCCAAAACGUGCAGCACUAUAGAUUAAAUCUUCCACUUUCAGAACUUUACUCAUUAAUCUUCUGCUCCAAAUCACCAAUGAUUAGUGCUGGUUUUUUAUUUUACAAGGGCUUAAUCUCCAUAUAUCUGAAGACUAUGAAGAUUAGGCAAUAUGCCCCAAUUUCUUUUUGUUGUGUUUAAUCCUCUGACAGUACCAAGAUCAAACACCUUAGACCAUCUUUGAUUUGAUGUAUAAAGACUCGUUCUCCGAAAUCCAAACUAAAAAUUGAAUCAAAGUGCCUAAAUCCAGUGAAGACAAGGAUACAAGCUUUCAAGCUUUCACUAUUUCACAAAUCAAGGUUACCAGGAUGUAGAGCUUGUUACAGAGAACAAGAAUAUACAACUUUCUACUUUAACUCUCUCUCUCUCUCUCUCUCUCUCUCUCCAUAGCUUUGAUGAGAUCUGAGAAGAUGACCCAUCAACCAGCCUUAUAAACUAUGAUAAGGCCAUCUCUAACAAUCCCAGAAUUUUCCUGCACUUUUUUAACUAACCCCAACUGACUUUUGACCAGCAUUCUCGCCCUUAUAAUGACUGACACGUCGGUGAAAUUCCAAAAAACCGAACAACAAUGUCGUUCUGCCAGUGUUGAGAUGAUGAGAUGAGAUCAAAGCACAAAUACUUUUCUUCUAACUGAAGUACUAAGCUUGAAGUUGAACUGUACCGCUACUUAAAAACUAGAGAAAGAAAUAAAAUAAAAAUAAAAACAUAACAUAUAUCAAUUUGAAUGUUGACAAAUUGAAUACACACCAGUGAAACUGAAAAUAGAAAGUAAAACAAUUAAUCAGACUUUUGUACAAUAUAUUAAUCUGAACAUGACAUUAUUACUUUUAGCAUGCAAAUCCUUGACAAUUUGAAUGUUGACAAAUUGAAUACACACUAACUGAAGUACUAAGCUUGAAGUUGAACUGUACCGCUACUUAAAAACUAGAGAAAGAAAUAAAAUAAAAAUAAAAACAUAACAUAUAUCAAUUUGAAUGUUGACAAAUUGAAUACACACCAGUGAAACUGAAAAUAGAAAGUAAAACAAUUAAUCAGACUUUUGUACAAUAUAUUAAUCUGAACAUGACAUUAUUACUUUUAGCAUGCAAAUCCUUGAAAACAAAGAAACCAAACAACGUGUAGACAACUCAGCAGAAGUGAACACUGAAAGGAUGAAGGCUGGAUUCUGGUUGAAAUUGAAACUUUGGCUGCAGUACAGUUAAGAUAUUUUCCGCUGUGCUUUUACCUGCACAUACAACUGAUUGAAGAUCUUAUCAUACAGUUUUUAAUGAAUGGUGUCAGCAUCAGGAACUGUGAUGGACACUUCAAGUUUAUGUUGAGACAAAAAUUAGAAGCAACCACAAUUAGAAUGUAGAAAACACUUUAUAUUAUGAUUAUAGUUUAGGCAGCUGCAUACUAUCAAAUCUUUUGUGGAGAAAAAAAAAACUUUUAUAUGAAAUUAGAUCGAUAAUUAAAGGUUGAAGUUAUUGGGGAAGAAGAAAAAACUUACAUCAAACUCAAUCAGGGCUAAUCAAAUUCCGUAAGGAUAAAUCUGAACGCCAUACUGCUCCUUAUCCUUGAAUUCCCGUAGCUUUUGUCUCAGCUCUGGCUGAGGCCACCAGCAAUCGAAUUUGUUUAAGCUCUUUAUGCACCAGAGCUAUUCAGGAACCCUUUUUAAGUAAGCACAAGGGUUGAUAAGCACGCAUUCUAGUUUUGGCAUGGCCCCAGUCCCCAUAGUCCACUCCUCUAGCCAUAGCAUUGAUUUCAUGUGCAAUACCUUAAGCCUUGGAAAACCAUCAGAACCACAAGUCAGCUUUCUACCUGAAUACGAGUUUUGCUUCAGUUUGAGCACUUGAAGAAGCGGGAGCUUUUCUAGUGUCGGCAUGGGAUCAUCCAUUAGGUUAGUAUUAGAAAAACUCAAGUGGGUUAGACUAUGAGGAAAUAGGUAUUCAGCAAGGAUGAUUUUGGAGAGCCGUGGCAUCUUGCUUUCGUUCACCAACUUCAAUGACUCGAGGCAGCUCAAUCUGCAAAUACUUUGGGACAACAAAAAUUGAUAAUAACUUAAAUCUCCCCAUAUGCAGAGAUUUCGAAGACUAGGCAGUCUGCCCAAUAUAUCUUCAGUACAGCAGCAAGGAUGCAAGGCCGAAAUGAAAUUGACAUUUUCCAGAGAGCCGCAAUAUUUUCCUGGACGUGCAGGAAGUAUGAUUGAGCCAAAAUUUAGAUGCCUGAGUUUGUUCAUCUUCCAAAACUCAUCUGCUGUAUGAUCUAUGUCGCUAAAAAGCAUAUUGAGUGUGUACAUGUUCGAAAGAUAGUUGAAAAAUGAUGAAGGAAGGCUUUUCAGGGAAGGGAUAUUCAACUUCAAAUAUCUUAAAAGAGAUAAAUUUUCAAUAUUGGACGGAUAUUGGUUGAGAACAAGGGAUCCUAAGUCUAAUACUCUGAGAAGUUUGUACAUUUCACAAAUUUUCUGCCAAUCUAUGGGGUCAAAGUGGUCGCUUUCUGAAGUGAAGUACAACAAGGAAUGCAGGUGCGGGUAAUAAUCAUCUAAGUAAGCAAAAUCGCUCUGUUGUUCUAGAGCACAGAAACGUUUGACAUUUUUUCGUGAUUCACCUUUUGCAUCCAGGGUAGGGGAAAAGACAAAUUCAGCAUUCAAAGCCACUACAAGCAAUGAAGGCCAACAACGACUACGGAUAGAGCAUGUGUUGAUUGUGCCUCCAGCUCUUCUCUUCUUUACUUCAACAAAGCCUCUAUUGAUUAGUUGUUCUAAGUACUUCUCAGCAGUUGCCUCGCUGUUGUCUGGAAUGAAACCUUCAACUAUCCACAACUGAUAUAACUGCCUGGUGGAUAUCUCUAGGUGUGCGGGAAACACAGGUAAGUAAAGACAACAAAGUUUCAAAGGAAAAGGUAACAUGCAAUGUGCGACGGAUUGAAGGAAAAGGGGCUUAUCAAUUGCUUCCCUUUUAUUUUCUUCUAAUGAGAUGCUUCCAUGGUAUAGGAUGUGGAAAGGCCAUCCUUGGUAUGUCACUCGCAAUGGUCCUCCAGUUGGCACUAAAUCAAGCUGAAUAUUCUGUCAGUUUUCGAACUGAAAUAAGAUGACGAUAUCAAUUUUAGCGAGCGUUAUUAGUACUCUAUGUUGAUGCUGAAAUCUGCUCGCCCUUUGCCCGACAAGAUUUUUACACUAACGUUCACGUUAUCAAUAAUGAAGAUAUCAAUUCCUUCUUACUUCAACGAUUGCUCCAGCCACUGAAGUUGGAGUUGUCCCUUUUUUUCUCACUAAGCCUGCGUUCACAAAAGUGGAUCAGAGACACCGGUGGUUUUGCCGGCGCAAACCCUCUGAUGCCUAAGUUAGCUAAAGGUGUUUAUGGGAAAACGGUGCAAUUAGGGUUCAAAUAAUUUCUUAGAAUUAGCUCACUCUCGGUAUUAAAAAGCGUCUGGAUACAAUUUGGCAGAGUUUUCCCUUCUCUCAUUUUUUCUUCCCUUUUCUUCAUUGAUUUCUUCUUCUUUUAUAGCCGCUGUCCCACGUUCCUGUUUAGCCUUAAUCCCUCCUUUUUCGGGUGGUGGCAGCCCCUCAUGGGACUCUAACUGCUACAUUAUGGGCAAACGUGGGAUCUCGCGUCUCCCGCAACGGUUCUGGAAAAAGCGCAACUACCGUGAUUCUGUGGGAUCGUGUUCCCACUUUUUCGGGGGAUGGGUAUCGGCUCGGUAUAUACCUCUGGUCAGUAUACUCCCCUGGUUGGUACUCGUCUCUAGUCUGCUCAUAUUUGUCCCCGUGUUCUGCUCGUACCAUUUGGCUGAGAUGAUCCAUGCCGGGGCAGAAAUAGUAGCAUGGCCGACCUGAUGCUUUUAUUUACUUAACACCAGUCCCCCAGUUUAUGGUCUUGCAAGUGAAAUGAAUUAAGAAUAGAAACUGAUAGUCAAAUGUUACCAACCCGGGGGCUUCUCAUCUGGUCUUCUAUUUACCGGGACGGACCUGAGGUACCAUUUUUCUUCUGGGGAGGUUCCGACCUGAGCAUGGGCCUUAAUGAGCAUAUCCAUUGCAUAUCUGGGCUUGCAUCUAGCCUGGCCUCUUGUAACGGUUAGUGACGUGGCAUCUCCAGACUGUUCGUAUUUGAAAUUUGAAACGACGGGCUAUUCGUCCUCGAUAUACGGUAAGUGAGCUGGCAUCUUUAUCACUUAAAUGCUUUCAUUUCCUCCUUUUCGUUUCAAAUCCCUAGACUUACAUCAUCAUCGUUUUGUUAUUCGUCUCUCCGUCGUUAACCUACCCCCUCUUUGAACUUUACUUACACUUCCCGUGUUCGGAGUAUCUACUUGCUGGGUUUUUUCUCUGUCACGGCAGCGCUAUCAGGGCCAGUUCAUUCCAGGUAUUGCUUUUAAUCUCUUCCCUGGUUGUUGUUGAUUGGGUUCUGUGUUGCCCCCUUUUGUAUCCGUAUACUUGAGUUUUCUUUGUUUUCUUUUGGGAUUCUGAUAUGUCAAAUCGGAAAAGGAAGUUAAUUGUUGAUGAGAGUGAUGAAGAAACAGGGGAUUCAGACCUUAACGUGUCAAUACCCACCGAUUUCUUAGGUCCCUCCAGUAGUGUAGGUCCUUCCCAUGGCAGGGAUAUCCUUGAAUACCCACGCCCCCUGACCAUUUCGCCUUCCCCUGAAUUAGAGCUUGUGGGGAAUAGAGGUGGACCCACAUCCAGCUCUGGUGAAGAUCACAGUUAUGGUGGGGUUGGGGUCCCUGAAGAAGUGGGUGAUGGCGAGAGAAGCAGUUCCGAGCCGAGCGGACCCUCUAGGAAAAGGAACUUUGGCCACAUAGUGGAGGCAGAUUCUUACCCUAUUGAUUUCAUAGCUUGUGCCACCACCCCCACUGAUCUAUUAAAGCUUAGGAACCUCUACAACAUUCCUGAGGAGGUUCUCCUUGUAGUUCCUGGGAAAGGUGAUGUACCUAGUCGGCCUCCGAAGGGGUACGUGACGAUGCACUUGGAGAGUUUCAGACUAGGAGCUCGGCUGCCCCUUCAACGUUAUUUUGCCAAGAUAUUGGGUGGUAUGCACCUGGCCCCAGGUCAGCUACACCUAAACGGGUGGAGGGUUCUCUCGGCUAUGUUUGUGCUGUGGGAGAGGUGCGGGUCGGAGGAGCCUUCCCUUGUUGAAGUGAAGCAUCUGUACCAGCUGCGAAGCAGCCCAAAGGAGGCGGGCUGGUACUACUUCAUGUCCAGUUUUGCAAAGAGGAAACCGAUCACUGGGUUUCCUUCUUCAUGUAAGAAUUGGAAGAACAAAUUCUUCUUUGCUGGAGGAAACUGGUGUCCAGCAGUCCGGUCGCUUGGUGGGGAUAUUUACCUUCCAAUGCAUUUUAUCACCCCAGGUCGUUCAUUUUUGCCUAUAUUCUUAAUCAAAAUUGCUACUUAUUGAGUUCUUUAACCUUGUUUGUUUUUUUCAGAAUCUUGGGGUUUGGUUAAGGACCUUGAAGACCGACCCUUGCUCCAGGUUGAAACUACUCUGGUGAACGCGUCUACCUGCCAAGACCUGCUGUCACUAAUAAACUUGGUCGGUUCGGGCUUAGUGGACAUUGUUGCCUGGAUGGAUAACAAUAUCCUCAGUGCAAUGAGCAGAAAGCGUGGUCGGGCUCCGAGCAGCUCCAGCAACCCUCCUCCUCCUCCGAAGAAAGUCAGUGUUAGCCCUUCUAAGGCUUCUGUUCCUGCUCUGCCCCCUCCUCCACCUAGUAAGAGUGUCGGGGAGAAAACUAUUGACAAGAGUUCUGAGGUCAGUACACGCUCUGGGGACCGAUCCUCCCCUCUUCCAGCUCGUGAUCAGGGUGACUACCUGAUCCUGUAUCAGAGGGACUAUGGGAAGUCAGUGGGACCGAAGAUGGUCCAGGACAUUGAGAGCAUGAAUCUCAAUGAAUUAGUUGGUUCUGUCCAAAGGGUCUCCUUCAAGUUGGCCACUCUAGUAUCUUGUUACAAGAAUAGGAUCACGCGCCAAGAGAGGAAGCUCCAAGCUGAGAACCAGGACUUGAAGAAGAGGGUUGAGUCUGUUGAUCGCUCGAAGGAGAAGCUGGUCGAGCUGAACGGGUAGAUUAUGGAGCUAGAGGAGAAAGUUGCGGUUGCUGAGUCCACUUCCUCCAAACUUGAGGGUGAGUUGGGUGACCUGAAGUCUGAUCUUCAGGUUACUCAAAGUGAAAGAGAUACUCUGAGGACUGCCCUUGAGGGAGAAAUCAAAUCCUUGAGUGAGCAGCUGGCUGAGGAGAAAGGUAAAUCCGCUGACGUGGACGAUCGGCUGGAUGCCGAGUAUGACUCUGGGGUUGUUUUCUCCUAUAAGUGCAUCAUGUCUGUGCUUAAGGAAGAAUAUCCCGAGCUGGACAUGAGCAAGCUGGAGGCUGGAGUAUAUGGCAGAGAUCGGCCAGGCAGAUAAAGAGUAGGGUGAGCAGGAUCAAGUGGAGGCUCCUUUAGAUGGGGUGCAGGAGGGGGAAGUUGGGGGACAUGCUUUUGAAGUGGGACAAGGGUCCGUGCCUCCUCCUCCCGGUAUUGCUGAUCUUCCACCUCCAGAGAUAGCUGAUCCUUCACUUGCUAAAGCCGUUGACCCUCCUAAUCCUUAGGUCUAUUUUUGUAUAGACUCUAGAUUUUCAUUCGUUUUGUAAACAUUUAAAUGCUUAUAAAUUUUUAGAUGUUCUUUACUGGCUUUCUUGUCUGGUUUUUGCUCAUGGAUUGUUUCUGCAAAUUAAUUUGACAAUUUAUCUGAUUUUGCUUGUUGGUUCUUUAGUGGACCGAGUAGGAAUAUGCAUCCGCUUGCCUUAGUAAAUUUUUGCAAAAUUGCCUGUUGGUCGUUUGUUGACCGAUCAAGAGCAGGCACUUACUUGCCUUAGUAGAAUUUUCGUAAAAUUGGCUGCUGGUCUUUCGUUGAUCGAGCAUAAGCAGGCACUUACUUGCCUUUGUAAAAAUUUAUUGAAAUUGCCUGCUGGUCUUCGUUGAUCGAGCAGGAAUAGGCACUUGUUUGCCUUUGUGGAAAUUUCGUAAAAUCGCCUGCUGUUCUUUCGUGGGCCGAGCAGGACCAGGCACACACUUGCCUUGGUAAGAAUUUCAUAAAUUUAGCUGUUGGUCUUUCGUUGACUGAGCAGGAGCAGACACUUACUUGCCUUAGUAGAAUUUUCAUAAAUUUAGCUGCUGGUCUUUCAUUGACCGAGCAGAAGCAGACACUUACUUGCCUUAGUAGAAGUUUCGUAAAUUUAGCUGCUGGUCUUUUCGUUGACCGAGCAGAAGCAGGCACUUGCUUACCUUAGUAGAAUUUUCAUAAAUUUAACUGCUGGUCUUUCGUUGACCGAGUAGAAGCAGACACUUACUUGCCUUAGUAGAAUUUUCGUAAAUUUAGCUGCUGGUCUUUCGUUGACCGAGCAGAAGCAGACACUUACUUGCCUUGGUAGAAUUUUUUUUUAUUGGGUUUGCUAGCAGGGGGAUUUCGUGCUGAAUUCAUCUUUAUUGAAAUUUGAAUGCAUUACAGGAACACAGAAUAUAUGUAUGUGCAACAAGCCAUCAUGCAUUUAAUAGAAAUAACUUAUGAAGACUUAGUAGAGCACUUUGCUUACUGGAAAUACUUCUUCAAGUGCUCGGCGUUCCACAACCUCUUUACGUCUCGUCCAUCUGUGUACACUAACUUAUAAGCUCCUGGUCCAGUUGCUCGUAUCACCCUGUACGGGCCUUCCCAUUUCGGGCCAAGAGCGCCAUGGUUGGGAUCCCUGGUGUUUUGGUUCACCUUCCUAAGCACCCAAUCUCCUGGUCGGAACUGCCUCACGCGUACGUUCUUGUUGUAAUAACGCGUGACCCUUUGCUGACAUUGGGCCACUUUCUGCGAGGCCCCUUCCCUUUUCUCCUCCAGCAGGUGCAGGCUCAAGAAGAUCUGCUCGCCAUUUUGCUCCUCAUUGAAGUAUUCCGUCCGAUGUAUUCGUACUCCAAUUUCUGCUGGGACUACCGCCUCAUGACCAAAAGCUAAGGCAAAUGGGGUUUCCUCUGUAGCGGUUUUGUGAGUUGUCCGGUAAGCCCACAGUACCCCUGGUAGCUCGUCAACCUAAGCUCCCUUCUUCUCUCCCAGUCUAGUCUUCAGGAGUUUCUUUAUCACUUUGUUGGCUGCUUCCACUUUUCUGUUUGCCUGGGGGUGUGCGGGGGUGCAGAACUUCAGGUCCACCCCUAGGUUCCGGCAAAAUUCUCUGAAGUUGUUGUCAAAUUGCCUUCCAUUGUCGGUGAUGAUGGUAUAAGAGAUUCCGUAUCUGCAGAUGAUAUUCUUCCAAAUAAAAUCCGUUGUCUUUCUCUCCGUGAUUUGGCUAAGGACCCCCACUUCUAUCCACUUGGUGAAAUAGUCUAUUGCUACAAUUGCAUGGGUUGCCGCUCCUCGGCCUUUCAGUAACGGACCAAUCAGGUCGAUUCUCCAUUGAGCAAAAGGCCAUGGGGAUGUCAUAGUGGUGAGCUUUUCUGGGGGUUGUGCGGGAACCUCUGAGAAGCUUUGGCAGAUUUUGCAACUCUUUGCCAUCCUUUUCGCAUCCUGGUGCAUGGUCGGCCAAAAGUAUCCUUGCCGGAGUGCCUUGAAGGCUAAAGUUCUUUCUCCUGAAUGAUUUCCACAUAUUCCUUCAUGAAUCUCCCUUAGUACAUAGUCUGCCUCCUCAUCAUCCAAACAUCGCAAAAGGGACAAGGUGAAUUCUCGGCGAUAGAGCACCCUAUCGAGCAGUGCAUACCUCGCUGCUCGGCGUUUUAACUUUCUUGCUUGCCUUUUGUCCUCCGGUAAAAUGCCAUCGCGGAUGUAUGCGAGAAUCGAGUCCAUCCAAGAUUCUUCGAUGCUUAUUCUCAUUACCUCUACUUCCUCUCCUAUACUCGGCGAGGCCCUCAUCUUUAGUGGAACUGACUUAGGUAAUUUGGGAUCUACUGUUGCAGCCAUUCUUGCCAACAUGUCUGCUCGGUAAUUUUCAUUCCAGGAUAUCUGCUUCACCUCUACCUUUUUGAAGAGUUCAACCAUUUGUUUCGCCUUCUUCAAAUAAAGCCCCAAUUUCUCUUCCCUUACUUGGAAUUGAUCACUGAGCUGAUUACAUAUUAGCUGGGAAUCUGCUUGGAUUUCUACUCUUUCUGGGCUUCGGAUUAUAACUCCUGCUCUAGAUCCCUGUUCACUACGUGACCCAUCAACCAUUACCAGCCACACCCCCUUUGGAUCCUUCUGUUCCACUAGUUGUUCCUCCUGGACCUCUUCCCCUGGUUCAACACGGUCAACCAUAAAAUCAGCCAGGGCUUGGGCCUUGAUUGCUCCUCGGGGCCUAUAGGACAGGUCGAAUUCGCUCAGCUCCAUGGACCACUUUACUAACCGCCCUGAUGCAUCUGGUUUUUGGAGCAUUUUCCGGAGAGGUUGGUCGGUCAUCACAAUUAUCGGGUGGGCCUGAAAAUAUGAUCGCAGUUUUCGUGCUGCCGUUUUUAAAGCCAGUGCCCAUUUCUCCAUCAAUGGGUACCUAGUUUCUGCGUAUACCAGGGCUUUGCUAGUGUAAUACACAGGGUGUUGCUUCCUUUCUUUUUCUCGGACUAACACUGAGCUGGUGGCCCAUUUUGAGAUUGCCAAGUAUAAAAACAGUUGGUCACCUUCUCUCGGAGUUGAUAGUAAUGGGGCGUGAGCCAGAUAUUCCUUCAGCUGCCCAAACGCUUCCUCACAUUCUGAUGUCCACUCCAUCUUUCUCCCUUUCUUUAUGGUUUCGAAAAAAGGGUGGCAUUUAUCUGUGGCCCGCGAGAUGAAUCGGUUCAAUGCUGCCAAUUUCCCUGUAAGGCUCUGCACCUCCUUAACUGUUCGUGGGGACCUCAUUUCUGUUACCGCCCGUAUUUUUUCUGAGUUGGCCUCGAACCCUUGGUGGCUCACCAGGAACCCCAAAAAUUUGCCAGAGCUGACCCCAAAUGCACAUUUCUCCGGGUUUAGCUUCAUUCCAUACUUCCUCAGUAGUUCAAAGGUCUCUUCCAAAUGUUUCACGUGAUCACUCGGUUCUUUGGACUUUGUGAUCAUAUCAUCCACAUAUAUCUCCAUAGUAUGACCGAUCAAUUGCUUGAAGAUCUUGUUCACCAACCUUUGAUAGGUGGCUCCUGUAUUUUUCAGGCCAAAAGGCAUCACCCUGUAGCAAAACAAACCCAUGUUAGUUAUAAAGGUGGUGUUUUCCUCAUCCUGCUCGUCCAUGGGUAUCUGGUUGUAUCCCGAAAAGGCAUCCAUGAAGCUGAGCAGACUGUGACCCGCUGUUGAGUCCACCAAUUGAUCUAUCUUUGGUAGGGGAAAACUGUCAUUCGGACAUGCCUUAUUAAGAUCUGUGAAAUCCACACACAUCCUCCAUUUUCCGUUGGCCUUCUUUACCAGUACUACAUUGGAAAUCCACUCUGAGUACUUGGCCUCCCUUAUAAAUCCUGCUUUCAAUAGUUUCUCCACCUCGGCAUUUAUGGCCUCGUACCUUUCCUAGUUAAAGCAUCUUCUCUUCUGCUUCACCGGCCUCGCCUCAUUCUUGAUUGCCAACUUGUGGCAAGCUACCCCGCGAUCAAUUCCUGGCAUAUCCUCGUGAGACCAGGCGAAUAUAUCUGCAUGAGACUGUAGGCACUUUACCAGCUCGCCUCUUACUGUCCCAACCAAUCCUGAACUGAUCUUAACCACUCUGCUCGGGUUGCUUUUGCUUACCGCAACUUCUUCCAGUUUCUCAACGGGUUCUUGGCGGCCCUUUUUAGACUCUCCUCGGUUAUCUAGAGAAGUAACCUGUAGUGUCUCCUUGGCCGCUGUAGCAUAACAACUCCUUGCCAUUCUCUGGUCGCCUUUUACUACACCAACCACUCCAUUUACUCUGUAUUUCAGUGCCAGAUAAUGCGUAAAUACAACGCAUUGGCUUAUCCUCAUGAAGGGUCUCCCCAGUAUCAUCUGGUAAGGGCUUCUUUCCUCUACCACGACAAAGUCCAGCAUCAUCGUUCUUUCAAACGGCUUUGUCCCCACAGUAAUUGAGAGUUCGAUGAUCCCCAUGGGAGUUAACCGUCCCCCUCCAAAUCCCUUUAAGGAUGUAUUUGUCCGUUCUAAUUUCAAGUCUGCAAUUCCCAUAUCAUCUAGGGCCGACUUAAACAGGAUGUCAACCGAGCUGCCCGUGUCUACCAGUAUUCGUCCCAAUUCUGUACCAGCCACCAUUGCCUUAAUCACCAGUGCAUCCUCAUGAGGAUAUAAGAUACCCUCUUCAUCGUCAUCUGUCCAUAUAAUGGGAACUUGCCGCACUUUUGCCUUCUUGGUUGCUGGCAAAUUGAAAAGCACCUCUUUGCUAGUCAUGGCGUAUCUCCCAUAGUUCUUCCGUGCCUUGUUCGAAUCCCCAGCCAAUGUUGGCCCUCCUGCUAUCACACGGAUAGUCGGCUGUUCACAUUCCAGGCCCCUCUCAGCUCCUUCAUCCCGCGUGUACUGUGAUUCAAUGACGGAGGACACCCCAUCUACAUAUUUAUCCAAAUAACGGUUUCUCACCAAAUCCUCCACCUGGAUCUUUAAGUCACGACAUUGGCUGAUUGUGUGACCGUGAGUGUCGUGAAAUUUGCAAAAUCUGCUCUUAUCCCGUCGGUGAGCAGGUUUUGUUAUAGGGGUUGGAGGGUACAACAGGCCUCGUCCCUCGAUUCUCUCGUACAACUCCUCCAUAGGGACUUUUAACGGGGUGUAUUGUCUAUACGCUGAGCUCUGGUCAAUUAGCUGGACUACUCGGCUAUUAUGAAUAUUGUCCCAAGCGGAUAUUGAAGGUAGCUGACCUGAUCGUCCCGUUCUGGAGUUGGCCGUGUGUAGUGCUUUGGGAGCGUUGUGAUAAGGAUGGUUAGCCAACUGCCGGAAUUCUCGUUGCCGCUCCAGGAAUGGGGGGCGCGGGGGCUGAGCCCUGUUGCGGUCUCUGAGCCAUGGGGUAAGGGCGAGACCGAGCUGAUACCGCACCCAUCAUUGAGGAUUCCCCAGCUCGCUUUCCCGACUCGCUCCCACUUGGGGUUCUCUUUUCCUUUCGUCUCAGCUCCUCCAGCUGUUCACUCUUUAUCCUUGCCGAUUUUUCCUCUUCAAUUUCAAUGUCUCUCUUUGCCUGCUCAUACCUCGCUGAGUAAUUCUGCACCAGGAGACUUCUCAGGUUAUACCAUAGCCAGCCUAUCCUCACACCCUCCUUUAAUCCGCUUAACGCCUGCGGGUGAUUGAAAGCUCCCAAAUUAAACACGGCUCGGUGGUAUCGUUUUACAAAAUCUCGAAGGGAUUCUUGUUCCUCCUGCUUCAUCCCCAUUAGUUCCAUCAUAUCAUCCUCUGGGGCCAUUGCUCCUCGGAACUGUUCGACUAACUCUUGGCACAUCUGCUCGUACCCUCUAAUACUUCCUCGUGACAGCUUGCGGUACCAUUCUCGAGUUCGUCCCUCCAGUGUCAAUGGGAACACCCUACACCUCUGAGCUGGUGUUAACCCCUGAACACCCGUCAUGUCGUUGAAACGUUCAAUAUGCACCAGUGGAUCACUUCGCCCGGAGUAUUUGAGGUCGGGGAAGCGAAAAUCUCUUGGGAUUACAAUACCCAUGAUCUCAAUUGAUAGUGGAGAUUCUUCAUCUAGCAUUAUCCUCCAGCUCGGGGGCUUUCUCUUGCCUUGUAUCUCCUCUAUCACUUGCGCUAAUCUGCGCACCUCUCCCUCCAAUUCUACAGCACGGUCAGGAUCACGCGCAGCUAUCUGAUCUCGCUCCUACUCGGCAUUUUGCAACCCCUGUCUGAGCUCUCCUUCAUCAAUACUGGCCCCUCGGCCAUCAGUUUUCGGUACCCAUCUAGGGCGAGGUUGGUCCCUCCCUUCAUCUACUCGUUCUCCUGGAACCCGACUAGUGCUUCUGUGGGGAUGCACCCCAUUAGGUUGGUCUGCCGGCGGAGGGAUUUCCUCAACUCUACGCCUCCGGAGGCUGGGUUCUGCUCCAACAUCAUCUCUUCCUACGGGGGUUUCACAAUCCUUUCUCCGCUCAUCCCUCAGCUCAUACAGUAUGGUCGCGAGAGUCUCCAUUUGUUUCUUCAUCCGCUCCAAUCGAUCUUGCAUCAUCCUCUCCCGGGCUUCAUUUGUAAUUUCCCAGAGAGUGAUUGUCUCCACAGUUUCAUUAUCCUCCCUCAAAGCAUCCUUCCUCGGCACAUCCAUGUCUAAUCGUUCGUUGCUUCUCCGGUAACUACUAAUUCAGUGGUAGCUUUUUAUCCAGCUCCCCACAGACGGCACCAAAAUGUUGAUGCUGAAAUCUGCUCGCCCUUUGCCCGACAAGAUUUUUACACCAACGUUCACGUUAUCAAUAAUAAAGAUAUCAAUUCCUUCUUGCUUCAACGAUUGCUCCAGCCACUGAAGUUGGAGUUGUCCCUCUUUUUCUCACUAAGCCUGCGUUUACAAAAGUGGAUCAGAGACGCCGGUGGUUUUGCCAGCGCAAACCCUCCGAUGCCUAAGUUACCACAAGGUGUUUACGGGAAAACGGUGCAAUUAGGGUUCAAAUAAUUGCUUAGAAUUAGCUCACUCUCGGUAUUGAAAAGCGUCUGGAUACAAUUUCGCAGAGUUUUCCCUACUUUCCUUUUUUCUUCCCUUUUCUUCAUCGAUUUCUUCUUCUUUUAUAGCCGCUGUCCCACGUUCCCAUUUAGCCUUCAUCCCUCCUUUUUCGAGUGGUGGCAGCCCCUCAUAGGACUCUAACUGCUACAUUAUGGGCAAAAGUAGGAUCUCGCGUCUCCCGCAACGGUUCUGGAAAAAGCGCAACUACCGUGAUUCUGUGGGAUCGUGUUCCCGCUUUUUCGGGGGAUGGGUAUCGGCUCGGUAUAUACCUCUGGUCAGUAUACUCCCCUGGUUGGUACUCGUCUCUAGUCUGCUCAUAUUUGUCCCCGUGUUCUGCUCGUACCAUUUGGCUGAGGUGAUCCAUGCCGGGGCGGAAAUAAUAGCAUGGCCGACCUGGUGCUUUUAUUUACUUAACACUCUACUUCCAUUCUGAUUAUCCGGGAGUAUUUCUCGAAUAAUAUCCCACACUUCAAUGCUCCACACAUCAUCAAUCACAAUCAAAUACCGCUUGGUCAUUAGAUAUUCAUGAAGAAUAAUUUUUUUCAUUUCAUAAUUUUUAUCCUUUAUUUCACUCAACCUAGAUGAAGGCAUCAGAAACUUAAUAAUGAUAUCUAAUAUUUGGUCAGCAUAGCAGGUGUAAGGCUCUUGAACCCAAGCAUGACAAUCAAAAUAAUGCUUCAUAUAGUUGCUGCUGUAAGCCUCUGCGGCGAAAGCCGUCUUGUCCAAUCCAAUGCUAUCAAGUAUGGUCACUGCGGAAAGUUGAGGUGGUCCUUCUAUCAAUAGAUCUAACAACUCCUCCAUUCUAUCAUCUAGACCCACCGUGUCCCUACUUUUAGAAGAUGAAGAUAUACCGGCUUCAGCUUCAAAAGUUUUGAUGGCAUCAAUGAUUUCGGAAUCCGUGUGCUCAAGUUGUUGCAUCCGUUGCUUAAUAUCAGUGAUUCUGCUUUGGGGUCCUUGCAGAGCAUUACAAAUGUCCUUGCUGCCGCUGCUUUGACUCUUUUGUUCACUGAUGCUGUUGAUGAAUGUGUUAAUCACCUUCUCAGAUUCAUACGUAAAGCAAUUGAUUUCAUCCAUAAUGUUCCCGAGAUCAGGGUCAUCAAUUUCAACUUCUCCUAUUUUUUGCAUCAGAAGGCAGGAGAUAUCAUCUUCAAAUUCCCUCAGCCAAGAAGUAACGAUUUCAGUCUCGGCAUGAAGGUUCUGAAUAUGUUGUUUUGCAGCAUCAAGCAACGUGACUUCUUCACCAGCUAACACCCGUCCCAGCCUCUCGGAAAAUAGCAUGAAGUUGAUGUCCAUAUCUCCUCCUCUCUCGGUACCACCCUGUAAUCAGUCCUGUAGCAUGCAAAGAAAUAGUUAAAAACAGAGAGUUGGAAAGAAACUUUGCUUUAAACCUCCCCUACCUCCGUUCUCUUAGCUAGUACUCCAUUCAAGAAAUUGAAUUGAGAUUGUUGACUCUCAAAUUAGAACAGAUCAAGGCAGAGGACUACGGUAAAUGAAUCUUACAAUACACUGUUCUCCAUAUGUUGUAAAAAGAAUAAAGCAUAAGAGAAUAAAUAGGUCUUGAUCAAGGAUCAAUCAAGACCAAUAUGUAUUAUACAUCCACUUUCAAGAAAGAAAAGGUCAAAACAAUUCCACCGGGACCAUAAGGCCUAUUUGAAAAGAAAAGAACAGAGCAAGAUCUUUAGUAAUUUAAGCUGUGGAAAAAUGCAAAAUCACGUCUACCACUUACUGGCGUGCAAAAAGUUUUAUGUAUCCACUGAAACAUUUAUUGUUGAUGAAUGAAACUGGUCUUAGGUUGACCUACACAACUCUUUCUCUCGGUACUCCAGUAGUGCAAGCAUGUUAGUUUAGUCAGUAGUUUCUCCUACACAUAAAUGAUGUUUAUUAUAGAAUUUUGAUAAUGGGUACAAUAAGAAAGUAGUUGCAAAGAAAAUAUUGGGGGUUGAUGUGAUAUCUAUUGACUUGGAGCAUAAUAAAUAAUUACAAAAUCACUAUUUGUCUUUAAUUUUCAUCAUACUCCUUAUUAAAAAAUUAUUAUGAUUACAUAGUCAGUGAUUUAUAUUCACAGAAGACAAAAGUAAUGAAUAAAUAAGCUACCACUUGCAAUUAAUAAAAUGGUAACCCUAUCUGGUAAGGUAGCCCUGUUCAUUGAAAGCAAAAGCAACAGAAUCGUUCACUGUGCUGCCACAAAAUGAUUGUCAUGGAAGGCACCAAAGUUUCCAAGUAACAGACAAAGUCGAAGUAGUUAGCACUAUGAAGCGAGGCUGAAAAUCUUGUUCCUCACGUUAAAUAAUAUUUAAUAACGACCUACUGCUAAUCAUUGUGUUUGUUAAUCUCUGCCUUAUGCCUUAGCUUUAAUAGCAUCUCCAUGUAAUCCUCCCAACCCACUACACGGGAUCAGAGUAUUAGCCAAACAUGUACAUAGAUAACUACUCUCUGUUUCAAUAACUUGUAAUCUUAUCUUAUAUCUCUUUACCGUUAUCUUGUAAUUAUCAUAUAGGCUAUGGCUUAGCUUGUAUUUAUCUUAUAGGCUAUGACUUAUCUUAUAGUGUUUGGCUUAUCAUCCAAGUAUGCUUGACUUGUAUAAAUUGUAACGUUACUCAUUGAUAAAUUAUUGAUUCAUACAAUUUCUUUACAGAGUCAGGCAAGUAUGAAGUUCAUCAAUAAUCAAAUCUCUUCUGUAAAUGAACAAAGCAUAUUGAUUGAGUGCCUAACUGUAGCAACUGGAGUGCUUAAAACCAGAGAUACCUCAGUUGCUGCCCAAUAUCACAAUCCAAUCAAUCAAGAUGCUACCAAGAAUGAACUAAUUUGAAGCUCAAUUGAAAAUGGAAUUGAAACAAGAUAAUGAUGAAAGAACAAAAAGCAAUUAAGAUCAAAUUGAAUUAAAGAAUUGAAAGAACCAACAGAGGAAAAAUCAAUUCAACGUGGUUCAACUAAUUUGCAUUAGCUUGCAUCCAUGGGAGGAAAUUUUUGAUCAGUUUUUAUAGAAAAUACAUUAAUCCCACUUAAUCCAAGACUAGAAAGCAUCACAAACAUUCUUUAUUUUUAUACACAGUCAACUCUCUGCUGAAAUGAAAUCUCUUACUUAAUGAGUACACAGCUGAAACAAAGACAACUGGAAUUACUUUUCAAAUUUGAUACACUGCUAAUAAUAAUGACAAUAUUAAAAUGUGGCAUGUGUUGAUUCUGCUGCCUCAAAGCUUCACUUGAGCUAGCCCUUAAUCUACUGAUUCACCUCACACGAUUUUUGUAACUUGAUCUAAGAAUCAAGUAUGAGUUUGAUAAAUUUCAUGAGAUAGAUAGCAUAAAUUUCAAAGUCGUUAGUUAAUUUGUUAUGAGAUAUCAUAUCACAAACAUAUUUUAUUAGUUUAAAUGAAGCUUAAUAAUUAUUCAACGAGGAUUUAAUUAGUUAAUUGUUUAAAUUUAUUCUUAAUGGAAUGCUAACAAACCAAAUUAAAUUUCUACAUUUAUUUAAUUAUAUACAUGCAUAUCUUGAUAACUAUUUUAACGUGUGAUCCAAUAUAGAACAUAAUUUAAUCUUGAAUUUUGCUCUGAAUAUUUUUAUAGUUGAUUUGUUAUAAAUUUGAACGAGGGAUUGCAAUUACUUGCUCUUUUAUAAAUAUUUUUAUACCGUAGGCAAUAGUUAUAAAGAUUGAUUAUUGAUGAACUUCACACUUGCACACAAAAUUCUAUUAUUGAAAGUCGAUGCUUACUAUAACACGGCGUUUUUCUAGCUUUUACUAGACGUGGUUUCAAUUUAUUGAACCAUUAGAGGGACACAUCAGUAGUCACAAAAGUGCCCCUGUAAAUGGCAAUCCUUGUAAUCAUUUUGCUGCCGCUCUUCAUUCCACUCCCAAGUACGCAGCCCAAACUUCAACUUUCUUUGGGAAGGUAAUGAAGCGUGACUUUGUCUCAGUAAUCUGUCUUUCAUAUUCCAUUGAAUGAGCCAAAGGAGGGAUGCUUCUAUAAUUAGUAGCAACUAUCAAUCAUAUUGAAGGAAUUUCUGCAACAGAUAAAGAAAGAAUAUCAGAGAACAAAGCUGUUAAUCAAUCAACACAUGUACAGCAGUAUUAGUAUUUCUGCCUCAUUGUAUUGCCUAAGCGGGUAUUAGGAUUUCUCCACAAGAACGUUUACUAAGACAUUCAGCCAAGUGUGAAGUUCAUCAAUAAUUAAUCUUUUCUGGAAAUAAACGGAACCUAUUGAGUGUCAGACUUGCCCAUCCUUUGAAACAGGAUUUCAGAGCAAGCAACAGAACAAAGACAGAAAAUACAUUCAACUCAACCCAAACACUAGCAAGCAUCACAAAUAGUAAUUAUUUUUUGUACACAAUUAACGAAACCAUGGCCGAAGCACAAAUCAAUGAACUAUCAACUGAAAAGCCAAAACAAAACUUCUUAUUUAUGAAUAGACAGCGGAAACAAAGAAACCAAAAAAAGUCCACCACCGUAGGAUCAGGACUUAUUUGUGUAGACAGCAAAUGUGAAGACGGAAAGGUUCUGGUUGAAAUUGAAGCUCGGGCUACAGUCAUGAUGUUUUCUUGUCAUGACCCAACCCGUCUUGCCAAUUAAGGUGUGGAUCACCCCUUAUAAACCCAACAUCGCUCCCGUGCUUUGCCGAUGUGGGAUUUGCCUAGGGUGUUACAUACACCUCCCCUUGGGGACUCAGCGUCCUCGCUGAGGUUUGCCCCACCAUCGCUUGAGAGGACAUGCGGAGCCGCUUUGAUACCAUAAUGUCAAGACCCAACCCAGACCUGGCAAGAUAUUGUCCGCUUUGGGCCUUAACAAGGCCUGCACAGAUUUGUUCUUGGGGCGCUCACACACCCCAAAACGCGUCUUGCCAAUUAAUGUGUGGAUCACCCCUUAUAAACCCAGUAUCUCUCCCGUGCUUUGUCGAUGUGGGAUUCGCCUAGGGUGUUACAUACACACCCCCUUGGGGACUCAGCGUCCUCGCCGAGGUUUGCCCCACCAUCGCUCAAGAGUACACGUGGAGCCGCUCUGAUACCAUAAUGUCAAGACCCAACCCAGACCUGGCAAGAUAUUGUCCGCUUUGGGACAAGUGGACACGCGAAGCCACUCUGAUACCAUAAUGUCAAGACCCAACCCAGACAUGGCAAGAUAUUGUUCGCUUUGGGCCUUAACAAGGCCCGCACGGAUUUGUUCUUGGGGUGUAUGGGCGUAAAGCGGACAAUAUCUUGCCAGGUCUGGGUUGGGUCUUGACAUUUUUGCUCUAAUUUCACCUACACAAGUCAUUGAAGAAAUUGUGAAAAAUAAGAAAUCUAAAUUUUUUUUUCUUAACUACUAAAACAAAUGAACAUCGAUGUAUUGAAGAGGGUUGAUGAUUGGGGUGAGCAUUAGAAACUCUAAAGGGUAUUUAAUGUUGAGGCAAAUUAGAAGAAAACAAUUUGUAUAACCAUUUUUGUAUUGAAGAAAAGGGGAAAAAAUAUAUGAAAUUGGAUAAAUAAUUAAAAUUUGAAGAAAUUGUGUAAAAUGAGAAACAUACAUCAAGUUCAAUAGGGGCUAAUCAAAUUCCGUAAGGAUAGCCACUCGGCCAAAGGCCGAGUGGUUAGAGUUGCUGCCCUCCAAGUUGGAGGGCAGCAGUUCGAACCCCCACAAAUGCAUUGUGGGGGUAUUUCCUUCCUUCAUUAAAAAUUGAGUGAAGGUAGUCUUCCUUCUUACCCAAGAGUGAGGAGUAGACAUUCCUCGAAUAUUUGUGAGGGUUAAAAUUUGGGUAGAGCUCCAUUAGCAUUGAUGUAAGUUGGUCCCAGUAAUAGUCUGAUUUAUAAAUAUCAGUUAUAACCUCAUGUAAUAUGAGUUGUAGUUUGAGCAAUAGUCUCAUGUAAUAAAAAAAAAUUCCAUAAGGAUAUAGUUGAAUGCCACACUGUUCCUUAUCCUCAAAUUCCCGUAGCUUUUGUCUCAGCUCUGGUUGAGGCCACCAGCAAUCGAACUUGUUUAAGCUCUUUAUGCACCAGAGAUGUUCAGGCAUCUUUUUCAAGUAAGCACAAGGGUUGAUAAUCAAGCAUUCUAGUUUUGGCAUGGCUGCAUUCCCCAUAGUCCAGAAGUCAGCUUUCUGUAUGAAUACGAGUUUUGCUUCAGUUUGAGCACUUGAAGAAGCGGCAACGUUUCUAGCACCGGCAUGGGAUCAUCCAUUCGGUCAGUAUUAGAAAAACUCAAGUGGGUUAGACUAUGAGGAAAUAGGUAUUCAGCAAGGACGAUUUUGGAGAGCCAUGGCAUCUUGCUUUCAUUCGCCAGCUUCAAUGACUUGAGACAGCUCAAUCUGCAGAGACUUUGAGACAGCAAAGAUUGAUCAUAACUUAAAUCUCCCCGCAUUCAGAGAUUUUGAAGAUUAAGUAGCCUGCCUAAUAUAUCUUCAAUACAGCAGCAAAUGUGCAAGGCUGAAAUGAAAUUUAGAUUUUCCAGAGAGCCACAGUAUUUUCCUGGAUGCGCAGGAAGUGUGAUUGACCCAAAAUUUAGAUGUCUGAGUUUUUUCAUCUUCCAAAAUUCAUCUACCGUAUGAUCUAUAUAGCUAAAGGGCAUGUCUAGGGUGUAGAGGUUCAGAAGAUUGCUUAAUAAUGAGGAAGACAGGCUUUUGAGGGAAGGGAUAUUCAACUUCAAAUAUCUCAAAAGAAAUAAAUUUUCAAUUCCGGAUGGAUACUAGAUGAGAACAAGAGAUUCCAAGUCCAACACUCUGAGAAGUUUGAACAUUCCACAAAUUUUCUCCCAAUCUAUGGGGUCAAUGUGGCGGCUUUCUGGAGAGCAGCACAAGAAAGAAUGCAGUUGCGAGUCAUAAUCAUCUAAGCAAGCAAAAUCAC
rnacentral:lncRNA from 1 species